rnacentral:lncRNA from 1 species
CAGUGAUGGUAUAUGCCUUCUCUCAAGAUAUGUAGUAUUUGUGGUAUAGAGCAUAGUGACUUUGCCUUCUCUCUCACCCUACUCUAAUAAGGCUUUAAUAUCUAGAGCUCAUAGGUGGGAGAUAAAAUAUACAUACUUACAAGACAUUUAUUGUAUAGUCAAACCAUGGAUCCAAAGAAACAAAUCAAUAAGCAAAAUCAAGAUGUGCAUGUGUGGCGAAUGAAUGGUGUAUGGUGAUGAUGGUGAUAACAAUGGUGAAGGAAGUCUAAUUCUACUUUUGCUCUUUUGAGGGGAUACAUACCUUUCUUGCUUUUUGAAACUUUGUGAGGAGAAUGAGAUGCUCUAUAUUUUUUUCUUUUCUCUCAGGUGGGUAUCUUGUACCCCUAAUUCUACUGUCGGACACUUGUCCAUUUUUACCUCUCGUCUCACUUUUUCUUUUCUUUCGAGGUUCCGAGCACUUGCUCCUUUUUAUUUCCUCGUAUCUCUCUUUUUUUUAGAGCACUCAUCUCUUGAGAUAAUAUAGCAAGUGGUAGUAACAAGAUAACUUGAGCAUUUAUUUCACAGCAGAAAAACAGAAAUAUUUUUGGCUAUUCUCUCCCGUAUUAGGAGUAGCAUAUUUUUAGGUGGUUCUGGAGAUGGAAAUGGGUGGAUAUAUGUGGACGGUACUCCCGGAGUAGAAGUAGCAUAUAUGAGUGAACGUGCAAGUGAAAUCUUGAUUUAACCACAUGACAAGCUCCUAAGGGUCUACACAGCUUGACCACACUCAAUGCUCAUAAGCGGUAAAUAGUAAAUGUGUGGCUCAAAGUCUAGCAAGCAUGUAUAUAUGACUGUGGUAGGAAUUUAAACUCUCAUCAUACAGGAACUCAUCAUGCAACAUUUUAAAUAUUUUCAAAGAUAAAAUUCUCUAGAAUUUUAGCAUCACUAGGAACAGAUAAAUAGCAGCUCAACCUUCCCAUAUCGUAUCCGUUAACAACUUAGACUUCAUCCCACAAGUUUAGGUCUAGAGCAAGCUUUAAAUUAUAACAGUUAAACUUGAGAGAGAACUUAAAAUUUGCAAAUUAGGCAGAGCAACUAUUCAUCAUAUCCAUGCUUGAGUUUUAUUUAGAUACAGAUUAGCAUAGCCACUUUAUUUAUUUAUUAAACACACUAAGCAAAAGAUAUAUAUAUAAGCAUAAAAUCUUUAUUUGGUUUUCCAUAGUUAUGUAUUUUUAAUAUUCUAAUAUAAUAUAAGUAUAAAGAUAGAUAGAAAUACUUAUCGGGAUAAAUGGGGGUGCUCUCCCCCAAGCUGAAUUUUGACGUAAUUUCUCUUGAUGUAGCUAGCAGGCGGCAGAGGUGUAUUUGAAAGUCAGCAGCAUUCUGACAGCGAUUAGAAUGUCCUCCGUCUGCUAGUCUUCUUGAUUCUUAAAUUCUGUGAAGCUCAAAUAGACAAUAAAGCUUGUGGAACUUGAUUAAGUGUUAGCAUAAAUAUCUAGCCUUUAUCAUGUUGAGACUCCUUAAUAAUUAUUACUCCCUAUUUUUAUAUUUUUAUUUUAUAGAGCAGAAAAGAAAUAUUUAUUUUAUUUUUAUGCCACCACAGUGAAUGAACUUAUAGGUUUUAUGCCACUCGUCUACUCACAUGGGGCUUACUGUUUUUCACAUUUUUAUUUUCCUUUUAGGAUAGCAUGAAUAUGAUUAACUAAGUAAACUAGUUGACAUAAUUGAAAGGGAAAGGAUAACUAUCAAGUUUACUUCUUGGCAAGGCGUUCGGUCUUUUUAAGUCCUCCGAACGGGACUCUCCGUUUUCUCAAUUGUCCUGAGAUUCGUUGGGUGGCGGAGUCGGUACUUCCGGCAGCGCCUCCUCUUCAUGUAUAGUUAUCUUCUCUUUCCAUACCUGACUCAGUGCUACGGUCUCCUCUGGAUAAUUCUGUUUAAACUCUACGUCUUCUGACCUUAUAACUUCUCCUUCGUAGUCUGCCCAUCCGUCCUUGAUGAUUUGCCACCUCUGGUUGCGGUUGCGUCUCUUUCUAACCUGCUUAGAUUCUUCAACGAUAUAGUCAGGGUCAGUAAAAUAACGGCGUACCUUCUCUGAGGGGAAGUGCAUAUGGACUUCUCCGGUUCCAAUGUAGAUGAUUGCUUUAACGGUGCUGAGGAACGGUCUUCCAAGGAUGAUGGGUGGAUCGUAUUCAUCUUCUCCCAUGUCAAUAACCUGAAAGUCUGUGUAGACAAAGUGAUCAUCUAUUUUGACUGGGACAUCAGUUACUGUUCCUUUAACUUCUCAAAAUGUCUGAUCUGCCAUCUGGAGUUGAAUGUAUGUUGGUCUUAGGGGCAUGGUUCCGAACAAGAGCCGAUAGGUGACUGCGGCCAUUAUGUUGACGCCUGAUCCGGUGUCGCAAAACAUUUUAUAGAAGUUGUAUCCAUUUAUUGAGCAGUAGUUGCUUGGCAUUCCUGGGUCGUCCUUCUUAAUCAAAAACGGUGACUUAAGUUGAUGAUCUUGGCCUCCAUGAAUUACAGUGACCAUCUUAGCUGACUCGGUCCACAUUUGCUUGUUCCUGUUCCUCUUGUUGGUCCUCUUCCUUGAUUCACGUCUGGAUUGAUCUGGGAUUUGUGUAGUCUUGUUCUUGAAGAAAAAUGUCUCCUUCCUCCCUUUGAUGUAGAAACUGAUCUUGGCAGCACUAGCGUAGAUGAUAGCUCCCGUGGUGUUCAAGAAUGGCCUCCCUAAGAUGAUAGGUGCUCUCUCAUCAUUACCGGUCUCUACCACUACGAAGUCGGCUAGAGCAUAUAAGGUACCAACUCGGACACAAAGGUUCUUCAAUAUUCCUUUUGGAAAAGUUAUUGUCUGGUCUGCAAACUACAAACACAUUGUUGUCUCUUAUAAAGGAUAUGUAAAGAAUUUUUCAUAGAGAACCCUGGGUAUAAUGUUGACGCUGGAGCCAAAGUCACAGAGUGCUUCUGGAACGUCCACCAUGCCGAUGGAGAUUGGGAUGACGGGGCGUCCUGGAUCACCUUUCUUGACCGACAGAAGGUCAGUAGUGAAUUCAGUGACGGGGUCACUCCAAUUAUUACCUGCAUCAAACAUGUCUACAAGAUUUGUAGAUUCUAAUCCUUUCGGUUGUGAUGGUAUACCGGGGUUAGUAACAGGAACAGCAGCAACUAUUUGAUUUAACUGAGAUUCAAUCAUUUUAUUAAAGCUAAUUUGAUUCAUGAUGGCAGUAGAGAAAUUAUCCAUUCUAUUAUUUAUAUUUUCUAGCAUUUUAUCAUUAGAUGCCAAUUUCUUAGAUAGGUUAUCCAUUAGCUUUCCUUGAUUAGACACUAACUCUCUCAGAGGUGGAAAAUUAUUAUUAUUGUUGUAAGAAUUGUUACCUUGAUAAUUACCUGAGUAGUUAGGCCUCUAUUGAUUCCAACCUUGAUUUUGUUGAGGACGGUUGUAGUAGUAGUAGUUGUUGUUGAUGUAGUUAACAUCCUCCAACAUCUCAGGGCAGUGAUUGCCUGAGUGUCCAGUGUCUCCACACUCCUCACAAGUCAUGUGAGAGUCAUAGAUGUGCAUAACUUCUUUCUUAUCUCCAGCUUUAUCAUCAAGCUUCUUCAUGAGCAGGUCUAGCUUUGCAGACAGCAUGUCUACCUCCUUCAGCUGAUGCAUACCUCCACCUCUCUUGCGUGUCUGGGUCCUCUCUUCAUUCCAGCUUUGAUUGGACACCAUCUUCUCCACAAGAGCUGUGGCUUGUGGUAUAGUAAGUGAUAAGAAUGCUCCUCCAGCUGCAGCAUCCAUGGUUUCUCGGGCACUGUUGCCGAGCCCAUGAUAAAACGUCUGCAUUAGUAGUCAACUCUCCAUUCCAUGAUGGGGACAUUCUAGGAUGUAGUCUUGAAAGCGCUCCCAUGCUUUUGGAACAGAUUCAUCAUUUUGUUGCUGAAAACUUGUAAUCUUCCCACGGAGAGCAUUGGUCUUGCCCAUGGGAAAGAACUUAGCUAGGAAGUUUGUUGAGCAGAGUGCCCACGUAGUAUUCUUCUCCUUUGUAACGUAGAACCACUGCUUCGCUCUUCCUAACAGUGAGAAUGGGAAGAGGCAAAGUAGUAUAGCAUCUUUGGAAACUCCUGAUAUGGUGAAUGUGUUGCAAAUCUCCAGGAAGUGUUGUAAAUGAGCACUAGCAUCUUCGUGUGCCUUCCCACAGAGCUGGUUGGAUUGCACCAUGUUGAUAAGUCCAGGCUUGAGCUCAAAGUUGCCAUCGAUCUCUGCAGCAGGUCUAGUGCGGAUGUUGUCCGUAGUGGGAGCUGAGAACUCGCGGAUUGAUUUGUUCGCCAUGGCUUCGAACUCUGAAGACAAGUUCCGGUGAUCUUCUUGAUUGGAUGAAGCUUCUUGCUAAAGUGUUGAUGAUCUCUUCUUGAGCUUGGCUCUUGUCUUCUUGAAUAACGCUUCGUGAUUGUCAACAAAUUUUCCUGGAAGAUGUCUUCUAUUCAUACAUUCCCCUGCAUAAGAUAAAAUAGAAAAAUAUCGGGGUAAAACUGUAUGAGAGAAUAGAUAAGCUCAAUCAUAUUAGUGAUGCGAAUGAUAACUCAAAAUCUUUUAUUCUAUUCCUGAUUAGUAAUCAACCUUCCCCGGCAGCGGCGCCAAAAAUGCUUGUUGGGUAUUCUUGACAUCAUUACCAAAAGUAGACUACGUUCACUAAAUCUAGUAACGGUGCCAAAAAUGCCAAACCUAUCCCUCACACCACUUAAGCCAAGUUGUCAUCCCCAGCAUGACAUGAGAGACGCGAUAUUGAAAUAUGCAAUUGCUCUUUUAAAUAAAUAAUGAAUGGGAUCUACAAGCGCACAGAUUAAUACCGAUGUAGCAUUUUAACCGGGAAGUAUUCUAGGUAUCGUUAUUUAUAUUUUUACCACUGGGAAGGGAUUAGCAAUCAUCAAUAGUGAUUACAGAAUAGAAUAUGAGAUUGAGCAUCUAUCAUUGCAUAUGUAAUUGAGAACAUUUAUCUAACUCUUCAUACAGGGAUAAGUGUCACAUAAAAGAUGUAUGAAUUAAUGAAUAGUGACAAGGAUAAUUAAUCUGAUCAGCCACAUAUAAAUAUGAUAAGCACCUCAAUUAUAUACUCUAGAAAGUCAUUAGCAUGGUAUUAGAACGAACUACAAGAAUAUUCCCUAAGUUAUUCUUAACUAUAUAGUCUAGCAUAUCAUAGUUAGUGCAAGCAUACUUAGCAAUCAUUGCGAGACAAGACUACGCCCAUGCAUAGUGAUAUUAGCAAGGAAUAUGAGAAACAUAGCAAUCACUCUCCUGUAAUAAUGUUGCUCUACCAGCCCAAUACACGAGAGGGGACUAUAUAAGAAUCAAUGAAGCUGUCACUAUCACGAACUACCCCACGAUCUGGCAUAUUGGGUACAAUCGCAGAUAAAUACGGUAUAAGCACCACGCCUACACAAUAUCUAUCACUUACCCAUGGAUCCGAUGGAUAAACUCUAUACGAUCCUAAGCAUGUAUAUAGAGCCAAUCUAACUAAGCCAAGUACAUAACUAUGAUAAACUAAGAACAAUAUAAUCUUGAAUAUAAGCAAGUAGAGCAAAGUCAUAAGCAAUAUAUUGAAGUAGAACAAAGUCAUAUUCAUAAUAUUGAAGAACAAAGAUAAUUAGAAAGCAAUUAGAAGCACAAUUAGAGAAUUACCAAGAAUCCUCUUGACAGAUCCGGAAACCAAUCGAAGAUUGACUCCUUCUAGUUCUAAUCCUAUGUUGCUAUGCUAAUCUAGAUAUCUAAUUGAUGUGGUGGCUCUAAUCUUGAUCAGAGGCUUCUUCUCCCUUGAAGAACAAUGAAUUAGGGUUGAGAGGCUCUCUCCUCCAGGGGCCAGGGGGUCUGGUUUUAUAGUCCCUUCAAGUGAAUACGGGCCGUUGGAUCAAACCGACAUAGAUUGUAUGGUUUAGAUUCAUCCUUUAGGUCGGUGGAGAUCUCCCACGAAGCAGAGUCCUGAUUGGCCUCGGCAGGUGGGCGGGCGCCCAGGGUCAGGCCCCGUUUCGCCUCCACUUCAGUCUCAUGGCUUCUGGAGUGUUCUAGAUGUAAGAUAAUUGCGCGGCACAUUAAUGUCUCUAUGUAAUCCCGACAUGUGGGCCUUUCUUCCGUAUUUCCUGAUAACCCCCUGUAUAAAUAGACAAACACCAAAACUCGUGGAAUUCUGUCAGAUAAAACCCUAAGUCUAGAUGUUGAUUUCAUUUGGAUCCUUUUCUUUAUUUAUUUGAUAAUUAAAUUUGAUACUUAAGGACCGUCAACACUAACCACUGGACGCUCUCAGAGUGCGUCCGGUGCUCAACCCUAGCAGGGUCAAGCACACCGGACUCUGAGGCCAACUUGGUGUCAUAAAUUACCAAAACCAAACUUGGGCUUUCAAUCUCCCCCUUUUUGGUAAUUGAUGACAACCAUCACAAAGAUAUGAAAUGAAAUCAUAAUGAACUUGAAUUGCUUGUCCAAAGCAUUUUUAUCAUGAGACAAGGUUGGACAAACAUUUCAGUUUCAGUUUUGGUUGUACUAGCUCCCCCUACAUAUGUGCUUCCAUGAGUUUAGUUCAAGUUUGCACAUAUGCAUGAAUUGGAAUUUUGGGAGAAUUAUUACUACCAAAAGGAUGCUAAGGUAUAUAGGAUGGACCUUUGAAGCGUGAUACCAAUCGGAGUUGCCAAUAUACCAUCCUUAGCACCAAUGUAGCUAGACAUACAUCAAAAACUCAAGAUACCUCGUGAGAUCACAUUAUACGUCUAGAUACCACAAGAAAAAUAAAACUUUAUGUUAGAAUUCAAAGCAUCAUUCAAGAUCUAUUUCUAGCAAGCACCAACCAAACAAGAGUGUUGAAUUUAAACAUGCAAUGCAACACCACGUUAUGUUAGUGCACAUCCAAAUGCAACAAAUGGUUCAUGAGCUUGCUCCCCCUAUUUGUGUGCUCAAGUUUAAAAAAUUUUCUCUUCUUUUCUCUCCCUAUCUUUGUUUCUUCCACCCUUUUUGAAUUUAUCUUUGUUUCUCUCCCCCUUUGUCAUCAAUGACCACAAAGGUUCAAAUUUUAGUGAGAAUUAAGUCAAUCAAUGUGAGGGUGAAAUUAUGGUUCAAUCUAGAUCACUUGCCUAGAACAUGUAAUUCGGUUUGAUCCAAGGACAAGUUUUUUCACACCUCAUGAAGUAUAAGGGUUAUCUUGACCAUGUUGAAUUACACAUCAUAAGCUCAUAUUCUAGAUUCAACACUAGGCUCACAAGCUCACACACAUGUCAUAUGCUACCACUAGAUCAAUCGAACAUUGAAGCAAUAGUGGUACCAUACAUACAUCAAAAUCUUUUGAUUUUCAUGAAUGAGCCUAUUUGUUAUGCACACAUGUCUAUAUGUUCUAAUCAUGUCCUUAGCAAAGUAUGAAUGCUAUGUCAACCAACUUUACCUUACUUUGUUGGAGGAGAGGCAUAUCAUAUAUAGAUGUAGGGGUGAACCCAUCUCAAGUUGGAGAAGUCUAGUAUGUUCAACUCAUUUCUUAAUUUGCAAAAUCUCUUCUCAUCAAGUGGCUUUGUGAAGAUGUCGGCUAGUUGAUCUUCGGUGCCAAUGCUUUCAAUGCUAACAUCACCCUUUUUUGUUGAUGAUCUCUUAUGAAAUGGUGCCUUAUGUCAAUGUGCUUGGUUCUUGAAUGUUGAACCGAAUUUUGUGUCAUCUUGAUUGCACUUUCAUUGUCACAUAGCAAAGGCACAUUCUUGAAUUUGAUUCCAAAGUCAUUCAAAGUAGCUUUCAUCCAAAGCAAUUGUGCACAACAACUACUGGCACUAGUGUAUUCGGCCUCAGUGGUUGAUAGUGCAACACUAUUUUGUUUCUUUGAUGACCAUGAAACUAGAGACCUUCCUAGCAAUUGACAAGUGCCACUUGUGCUCAUUCUAUCAAUCUUACAUCCACCAUAAUCGGAUUCCGAAUAUCCAAUCAACUCAAAGUUAGACCCCUUGGGAUACCAUAAUCCAACAUCAUGAGUGCCCUUGAGAUACCUUAAUAUUCUUUUGGUUGCCUUCAAGUGACUUUCUCUAGGUGAAGCUUUGUAUCUUGCACAUUUGCAAACACUAAACAUUACAUCCGGCCUUAAUGCGGUGACAUAGAGCAAACUUCCAAUCAUGGACCGAUAUAGCUUUUGGUCUACCAUAUUGCCACUUGCAUCACUACCUAAUUGAUCAUUUGUGCCCAUAGGUGUGCUCAUUGGUUUAGCUUCUUGCAACCCAAACUUCUUGAUCGUGUCCUUGAUGUACUUGCCUUGACUAACAAAAGUGCCAUUCUUCAUUUGCUUGAUUUGAAGUCCAAGGAAGUGACUAAGCUCUCCUAUCAUGGACAUUUCAAACUCAUUUGCCAUCAUUUUUCCAAACUCUUCACAAAAAUCUUGAUUGGUUGAUCCAAAGAUGAUAUCAUCAACAUAGAUUUGCAACACAAACAAGGCAUUGCCUAGCUUCUUGGUGAAGAGGGUAGUGUCAACCUUUCCCAUCUUGAACCCUUUAGAGAGAAGGAAAUCUCUCAAUCUCUCAUACCAUGCUCUAGGUGCUUGCUUCAAACCAUACAAUGCCUUCUUGAGCUUGUAAACAUGGUUGGGUUUCUUGUCAUCUUCAAAACCGAGAGGUUGUUCAACACAGACUAACUCAUUGAUGUAUCCAUUGAGAAAUGCACUCUUCACAUCCAUUUGAUAGAGCUUGAUGUUGUGGGCAUAAGCAUAGGCUAAUAAUAUUCUAAUUGCCUCCAAUCUUGCCACCGGUGCAUAAGUUUCUCCAAAGUCAAGACCUUCAACUUGAGUGUAACCUUGUGCUACUAAUCUUGCUUUGUUUCUCACAACUACACCAUCUUGAUCUUGCUUGUUUCUAAAGACCCACUUGGUACCAAUCACAUUGUAGUUCUUUGGCCUCUCAACAAGCUCCCACACUUGAUUUCUUGUGAAGUUGUUCAACUCAUCAUGCAUGGCAUUUACCCAAUCAGAAUCCUUCAAUGCAUCUUCCAUCUUCUUUGGUUCCUCAAAUGAGACAAAUGAGUAGUGCUCACAAAAGGAUGCUAGCCUUGAUCUUGUUUGUACACCACUUUGAAUACCACCAAUGACUUGAUCUAAUGGAUGAUCUCUUGCUAUGCUUGUAGGUUGGAGUAUUGGGAGUUGAUUGCUUCCACUUGCUUGAUUUUGAUUUUGAUCAUCAUCAUGAGAGCCACUAGUACUUGCUUUAUUUGCAUCAAUUUGCACUUCUUGAUUGAUCAUGUGAAUGUCACCAUCAUCAUCAACUUGCCUUGGCCUUAUGUCACCUACAUCUAUGUUCUUCAUUGCAUUUGCCAAUUGUUCUCCUCUCACAUCAUCAAGAUUUUGAGCUUCACUUUGAGAUCCUUCGGUUUCAUCAAACUCAACAUCAUGAGCUUCCUCUAAUGUGCCACUUGCCAAGUUCCAAACUCUAUAUGCCUUGCUUGUGGUGGAAUAACCAAGUAAGAACCCUUCAUCACAUUUCUUCUCAAACUUGCUCAAUCUAGUGCCUUUCUUGAGAAUGUGGCAUUUACAACCAAACACUCUAAAUUAUGCAAUGUUGGGCUUUCUUCCAUUCAAUAGCUCAUAUGGUGUCUUUCCAAGCUUUCCAUGGUAAUAGAGACGGUUGCUACAAUAGCAAGCCGUGUUGAUAGCUUCACUCCAAAAUGAAUGGCUAACAUUGUAUUCACUAAGCAUUGAUCUAGCCAUAUCAAUCAAGGUUUUAUUCUUUCUUUCAACUACACCAUUUGAUUGAGGAGUGUAUGUUGGAGAGAAUUGAUGUCCAAUGCCAAGAUCAUCACACAAUUCCUCAAUUCUUGUGUUCUUGAAUUCACUACCAUUGUCACUUCUAAUCUUCUUGAUAGUGGUUUCAAACUCAUUUUGCACCCUCUUGACAAAAGGCUUGAAUAGAUCACAAACAUCACUCUUGUCAUAGAGGAAGAACACCCAAGUGUAUCUAGUGUAGUCAUCAACAAUCACAAAGCCAUACUUGUUGCCACCAAUGCUAGUGUAUGUUGUUGGCCCAAAUAAAUCCAUGUGCAAUAGCUCAAAUGCCUUUGAUGUGCUCAUUUCACUUUUCUUAGGAUGUGCAUUUCCUACUUGCUUUCUGGCUUGACAAGCACUACAUGGUUUAUCCUUCUCAAAAGUGACAUCCUUCAAGCCUCUAACUAAGUCAUGCCUCAAAAGUUUGUUCAAUUGUUUCAUUCCAACAUGACCAAGCCUUCUAUGUCACAACCAACCCAAACUUGAUUUGCUAAUUAGGCAUGAUGUCAACUGAGUGUCACUAUCAUUGAAAUCAACCAAGUAUAAGCUACCAUGCCUAAAUCCUUUGAAUAUCAAGUUUGAUGCAUCAACACUAACAACCUCAACAUCAUCACUUCCAAAGAUGCACUUGAAACCAAGGUCACAAAGUUGUGUAAUUGACAAGAGAUUGAAAUCAAGGCUCUCAACUAGCAACACAUUUGAUAUGCUCAUGUCAUUUGAGAUAGCAAUUUUACCAAGCCCUUUGACCUUGCCUUUCUUGUUGUUGCCGAAAGUGAUAGAAUCAAUACCACCAUUUUGACUUGUAUCAAUUUAUUUGAACAUACAAGACUCUCCGGUCAUAUGUUAAGUGCAUCCACUAUCAAGCACCCAAUGUCUUCCUCUGGCUUUGUAAUUGACCUACAAGACAAGAUCAAUUCUGUUUAGGUACCCAAACUUGAUUGGGUCCUCCAAGGUUAGCAACUAAGCUCUUUGGUACCCAAAUGGCUUUCUUCUUUGAGCCCAUCCAUGAUGCACCAAUGAACUUAGCAUGAACACCUUUUGUAUCCUUGGUAAGCACAUAGAAAGAAUUGAGUUUAAUUGAGGAUACAUGAGCUUUGGAUUUCUUGUUCAUGCAUUGUUGCUCUAGGUGACCAACUUGCUUGCAAGCUUUGCAAUACCGGUCAUUGUUCUUCACAAAACUAGUCUUGUGAGGAGCAAAGGCGGCAUUGCCUUUCUUGGGGUUAUAUCCCAAUCCCUCUUUAUAGAGAGAAGCUCUUUGGCUACCCAAGCACAUAAGCAAGCGGUCCUCACCACCAUAAGCCUUGGCUAAGGUGUGAUUGAGCUCUUUCACCUCCUUCUUGAGAAUUUCAUUCUAGACUUUUAGUGUGGUGUCACAAGUGAAACCAUCACUACUAGAUGAGGAUGAUGUAAAUGUGCUACAUGAAGGGUUAGUAGAAGCAACAACAAUAGGCUUACUUAAGAUAUCACAUGUUAGGCCUAUGUUGCAAGUUUUAGUUUUCUCCAUUUUAUUAGGCUCAUUUUCACAUUUGUUAACUAGAGAGGAAUGAGAUUCUUCAAGCUUAGUGUGAGCCUUUUGAAGCUUCUUAUGGUCUUCCUUUAGACUCUCAUAAGAUUCUCUAAGCUCAUCAAGUUCUUGCUCAAGGGUUUUCUUAUCCUUAAGCAAGGCCUUGCACUCCUUUCUAGUUUCUUUAUAGUGAUGAGUGCAAUCUUCUAGCAUAGUGAUUAGUUCAUCUUUAGUUGGUUCAUCAUCAUCAUCACUAUCAUGGUCACUCUCAUCAUCGGAUGAUACCUUAGUGGCCUUAGCCAUGAAGCAUGAUGGAGUGUCAAAGAUGGAGCUCUUUCCUUGAAUUGCAAUACUAGCAUGCCCCUUCUUCUUGUUGCUCUCAUCAUCACUUGAGGAGUCAUCACUAUCCCAAGUUGCAACAUGGGCAUCACCGUUCUUCUUGUUUGGGCCUUCCUUUUUUUCUUGAAUCUUCUUUUGCUUCUUUAUUUCCUUCUUGAUAGCAUCUUCAUCAUCACUAUCAUAAGGACAUUUGCCAAUGAGAUGGUCCUUGCUAUGGCAUCUAAAGCACCUCAUGGAAUGGUCAUUCUUCUUUGAGGAACUCUUCUUCCUUCUUGCCCGAUAGCCUUUCUUCUUCAUAAACUUGCCAAAUCUCUUGACAAGAAGAGCCAUCUCCUCAUCUUCAUCACUAUCACAAGAGCUUGCUUCUUCUUCACUUGAUGAUUCUUGCUUGGCUUUGCCCUUGGAUGUGGAGGCCUUAAAUGCCACACUUUUCUUCUUUUCAUCAUCUUUCUUCUCACCAUCCUUCUUCUUCUUGAUCAACUCAUCUUUUUCAUCAUCUUCUCUAUAGGCAUCAUCGGUCAUCACUUCUUGAAAGACUUGUUGGGGAGUUGAUUCACUAAGAGUUGUCUUGACUAGCACGGUGAUCAAUGUGUCAAAUCUCUUGGGCAAGCUUCUUAAGAAGUUCAUAGAGAAUUGACUAUCCUUCACUUCUUCCCCAAGUGCCUUGAGCUCAUUCACAAUGACUUGCAACCAAUAAAACAUCUCCGACAAACUUUCAUCUUCUUGCAUCUUGAAGCUUGAGAACUUCUCUUGGAGGAUGUAAGCUUUGGCGGUCUUAGUACCUUUGGUGCCUUCAAAUGUUUCUUCUAAUUUUGCCCAUGCAUCAUGAGCAACCUCAAUGUUCUUGAUUUGCUCAAAGGUCUUGUCAUCAAGAGCUUCAUGAAGAGCACUAAUUGCGAUGUCAUUGCAUUGAAGCUUCUUUUCUUCAACCGGUGUUACCCCUCUCAACCCUAGGAACUCCACCUCCUUUGCAAAAGUGCUAACACCAACAAGUGUCCACCACCAAAGUGCAUGUGUGUUAGCUUUUCACAAACAUUUUCCCAAAGGAGUUAAGUUAGCAGUUUACUAGAUCCUAAUGCAUAUGCUCAAGAUGUAGACCUAGUAGCACUUGAUUCGAGAGAUAACCGUGAUUUCCUCUCUUGAUAGUCGGCUAUCUAUCCUAAACCCGGUCAAUCACUUCUCUACUCAUCUUAGACCGGCAAAAGUAAAACCCUAUGUUUAUACCUUUGCCUUGAUAACUUUGCUCCUCGUCUAUCAUCAUGAUCUUCACUUGAUGCUUCAUUCCUUUGUGAUCAUGUGGCCACCUUUCCAUGCCACCAUGCACCUUCAUCACAUGUGUUGCUAUGCCUAACUCAAAUCACUUAAACACAAGGCAUUAGCAACUUGGUGUCAUUAAUUACCAAAACCAAACUUGGGCUUUCAGCAGAGGCACCAUUUAUUUGAGGCUUAACAACCUUCGGUGAAGAAAUGGCUCUUAGUUUGCACAUCAAUAACACCAAGAAGGCAACUUACUUUGAUGGCACAAAUUAUGCAUAUUGGAAGGUCAAGAUGAUCGCCCAUCUCAAGUCAAUCAAUAAAGAGGUUUAAAAGGUGACCGAAACAAAGUUUAAGGUUGCAAACAACAAUGCACCAACACCGGUCGAAGAGAAGAAGCUACAAUGCAACGAUAUUAUUGCCAUUAGUGCUCUUCAUGAAGCACUUGACGACAAGUCCUUUGAGCAAAUCAAGAAUAUUGAGAUUGCUCAUGAUGCAUGGGCAAAGCUAGAAGAAACAUUUGAGGGCACCAAGAGAACCAAGACCGCCAAAGCAUACAUCCUCCAAGAAAAGUUCUCAAGCUUCAAGAUGCAAGAAUAUCAAAGUGUGCCGGAGAUGUUUCACCAGUUGCAAGUCAUUGUGAAUGAACUCAAUGCACUUGGAGAAGAAGUGAAGGAUAGUCAAUUCUCUAUGAAGUUCUUGAGAAGCUUGCCUAAGAGAUUUGACACAUUGAUCACCAUGCUAGUCAAGACAACACUUAGUGAAUCAACUCCCCAACAAGUGUUCCAAGAAGUGAUGACCGAUGAUGCUUAUAGAGAAGAUGAUGAGAAGGAUGAGUUGAUCAAGAAAAAUAAGAAGGAUGAUGAAAAGAAGAAAAGUGUGGCAUUCAAGGCCUCCUCGUCCAAGGGCAAAGCCAAGAUAGAAUCAUCAGGUAAAGAAGAAGCAAGCUCUUGUGAUAGUGAUGAAGAUGAGGAGAUGGCUCUUCUUGUCAAGAGAUUUAGCAAGUUUAUGAAGAAGGGCUAUCAGGCAAGAGGAAAGAAGAGCUCCUCCAAGAAGAAUGACCACUCCAUGAGGUGCUUUAAAUGCCAUAGCAAGGAUGAACUCAUCGCCAAAUGUCCUUAUGAUAGCAAUGAUGAAGAUGCUAUCAAGAAGGAAAGAAAGAAGCAAGAGAAGAAGCAACAAAAGUAGGAAGGCUCAAACAAGAAGAAGGGUGAUGCCCAUGUUGCAACUUGGGAUAGUGAUGACUCCUCAAGUGAUGAUGAGAGAACCAAGAAGAAGGGGCAUGAUAGCAUUGCAAUUCAAGGAAAGAGCUCCAUCUUCGACACUCCAUCAUGCUUCAUGGCUAAGGCCACUGAGGUAUCAUCCGAUGAUGAGAGUGACCGUGCUAGUGAUAGUGAUAGUAAUAAUGAUGAUGAUGAUGAACGAACUAAAGAUGAACUAAUCACUAUGCUAGAAGAUUGCACUCAUCACUAUAAAGAAACUAGAAAGGAGUGCAAGGCCUUGCUUAAGGAAAAGAAAACCCUUGAGCAAGAACUUGAUGAGCUUAGAGCAUCUUAUGAGAGUCUAAAGGAAGACCAUAAGAAGCUUCAAAAGUCUCACACUAAGCUUGAAGAAGCUCAUUCCUCUCUAGUUAACAAGUGUGAAAAUGAGCCAACUAAAAUUGAAAAAGCUCAAACUUUCAACAUAGGCAUAACAUGUCAUAUCUUGAGUAAGCCUAUUAUUGUUGUUUCCACUAACCCUUCAUGUAGCACAUCUACAUCGUCUUCAUUUAAUAGUGAUGGUUUCACAUGUGACACCACACUAAAAGUUGAAAAUGAAAUUCUCAAGAAGGAGGUGAAAGAGCUCAAUCACACCUUAGUCAAGGCUUAUGGUGGUGAGGACCGCUUGCCUAUGUGCUUGGGUAGCCAAAGAGCUACUCUCGACAAAGACGGAUUGGGCUAUAAGCCCAUGAAAGGCAAGGCCGCCUUUGCCCCUCAUAAGACUAGUUUUGUGAAGAACAAUGGUCGGUAUUGCAAAGCUUGCAAGCAAGUUGGUCACUUAGAGCAACAAUGCAUGAACAAGAAACCCAAAGCUUAUGUAUCCUCAAUUAAGCUUAAUUCUUUCUAUGUGCUUACCAAGGAUACAAAAGGUGUUCAUGCUAAGUUCAUUGGUGCACCAUGGAUGGGCUCAUAGAAGAAAGCCAUUUGGGUACCAAAGAGCUUAGUUGCUAACCUUGGAGGACCCAAUCAAGUUUGAGUACAUUAAAAGAAUUGAUCUUGUCUUGUAGGUCAAUUACAAAGCCGGAGGAAGGCAUUGAGUGCUUGAUAGUGGGUGCACUCAACAUAUGACCAGGGAGUCUUGUAUGUUCAAAUCAAUUGAUACAACUCAAAAUGGUGGCUUUGACCCUAUCGCUUUCGGCAACAACAAGAAAGACAAGGUCAAGGGGCUUGGUAAAACUGCUAUCUCAAAUGACAUGAGCAUAUCAAAUGUGUUGCUAGUUGAGAGCCUUGAUUUUAAUCUCUUGUCAAUUGCACAACUUUGUGACCUUGGUUUCAAGUGCAUCUUUGGUAGUGAUGAUGUUCAGGUGGUUAGUGUUGAUGAAUCAAACUUGAUAUUCAAAGGAUUUAGGCAUGGUAACUUAUACUUGGUUGAUGUCAAUGAUAGUGACACUCAAUUGACAUCUUGCCUAAUUAGCAAAUCAAGGUUGGGUUGGUUGUGGCAUAGAAGGAUUGGUCAUGUUGGAAUGAAACAAUUGAACAAACUAUUGAGGCAUGCCUUAGUUAGAGGCAUGAAGGAUGUCACUUUUGAGAAGGAUAAACCAUGUAGUGCUUGUCAAGCCAGAAAGCAAGUUGGAAAUGCACAUCCUAAGAAAAGUGAAAUGAGCACAUCAAAGGCAUUUGAGUUAGUGCACAUGGAUUUAUUUACACUAUGCCAAAACAAUACAAAGGAGACACCUCAAUAGUGACAUAGAACUGAAACGCGUCACUAAUAAGUAUAUUAGUGGCGCGGAUGAACAAAGCAUGUCACUGCUAAGUUUUUGCCCAUGCCCCAAGAGCAAGACGCGUCACUAAUGAGAAGGUAUGAGUGACUCUUCUCAAGAAAACGCGUCACUAGUAAUAGAAGUGACGCAUUUGAACUACACGCGUCACUGAUAUGUGGCUAUAUUAGUGACUCUUCCCAGCGAAACGCGUCACUAGUAAUAAAAAUGACGCGUUUUAAGUAAACGUGUCACUGAUAAUGAGAGAUAUUAGUGACUCGUCCUAACAAAACGCGUCACUAGUAUUAAAAGUGACGUGUAAUGUUCAAACACGUCACUCAUAUUUAUACAUACUAGUGACUCUUCCUAUUGAGCCACGUCACUGACUACCUGGCCAGAAAAUUAACAAGAUGAAUGAUUGUCUAGUUGGGGCAAUCGUUUCCUAGGAACGUCCUCCAGACAAGUCAUCAUCAGGGACAUCAAAAAUAAAAACAAAAAAAAUACAUACAGACUAGAUGACAUCGCGUGUAUCUAUAAAUAAUCUAGAAAUAAAAAAUAAACAUAUAAAAAAGAAAUUAAAAAUGUAUAAACAUAAAAAGAUAAGAAAAUAAGAAAGAAAAAUGACAAAAAUAAGUACAAGCAAGGAAAAGAAAAAACUUAAAAUUAAAAUUGAAAUUAAUUAAAUAAAAUAAAUAUAGUAAAAGAAUAAAGAAUAUGAAAAGAAUGACAAAAAUCCAAAAAAGGAAAAAUGAAUUAAAGGAAGGAAAAAGAAAAGUAAAACAUACAAUAUAAAAAUUAAAAACAGAAAAAUAAAAAAACACAAAAAAGGAAAAUGAAAAUUAAGGUAAAGGAAAAAAAUAGAAGAUAAUAAAAAAAGGAAUAAAAGAUGAAAAAUAAUAAAGAAUAAAAGAUGACGAGAAUAAUACAAUAAAACUAAAAAUAAAAGAUAAAAUAAAAUAGGAAAACAAAUAGUAAAAAUGAAUGAAAAGAAAAGAAAAGAAAAAAGAAAUAAAAAAAGAAACGUUUGCUAUGGUGCAUAUGUCUAGCGUUACCGGCCAAUGGUCAUACUUGAGUGCGUAUGUGAGCGGCUCCACGCUAGAAGUAGGUCGCGGUAGCUUGCAUCGGAAGGGAGCGGAAGAUUUCCGCAAACUCCCGCAGCCGUCUCUCCCCCGCCGUCCCUCUCUCAUCCCCCACCGUCGCACCUCCCCUCUUCUGCCGCCACAGCACCUCCGUCCUCCCCGGUUCCCCCAACUGCGACGACACUAGGGAGGCCGAAUCUGGUUGGAGGAGGCCAGCCGGAGAGCAGGCGCUGGGCACGACACUCGAUGGAUCUGGCUUGCAUCAAGGUUCGGCAGCGUCCGCCGAGCGUGUGCGGAGGAAGAUCCAUGGAGCUCCCCUCCCCCGUCUUAGCACAAGCCGCGUCGCCUCGUCUCCUCCAUGCCACACAUGCUGCGCUCACCCCCACCUUCCCUUCUCUUCUCCAGCGACCCGGAUCCCACAUCUGCGGCACCAGUGAGCUCCCCCGAUGAGUCCUCUGCUUCCCAGAGCUCAGCACGCAGGUGGGUCCAGUGAGUUGUGCAGAGGGUCUGGUUGUGCGUGUGCCCGCUGGCGUCGUGCGGGCAGAUCCAUGGAGCGGCUACUAGCUCAAGUUUGGAUUCCGUAGAUUUACCAUUUUGGUUUAAGGUUUCAGGUCUAACUAUCAAUGGUUUAGGAGAGAAAAGGUCCUAAAGUUUAGUAAUUUUGAUCCCUAACUCAGAGUUCAGAUUUAGAUUUUUGUUUCAGCAGUGUCUAUUCUAUGAUCAUUUUCUGCUGAUUUAUUUAGUAUAUAACUAAUUCAUUUUGCCUCGAGGAAAUAGCUUGCUGAAUCAUAGAAUUUUUAAUUCUAAGAUAAUGCAUUACUACUUUUCUAGGUGUGUGCUGCUAUCAAAGUUAAGGCAUCAGUUAUCAUUUGCUUGACCUAUUCCGAGUGGGCUGCAAUGUAUAUACAAAUAUAUAUUGCUUGUACAGGGCUGCAAGGUGAUCUUACUUGUUCAAUUAUUACAAAUGUUCUUGUUUCCACAUGUAUAGCUUUGCUCUUCACUUUAAUCAUGUAGUCAUGCAUCUUAGGAAUAAAUAAUAAUUGCUUAGAAACACUGCCCUUCAUAUUAAGACCAUGGAUAAUAAUUACUUAGAAACACUGCCCUUCAUAUUAAGGUACUUGGGAAGAGCAAGAACCAUGCAGACUAAUAACUCAUUGAAAAUUCAGUUCCAUUUAGUAUGUCUGGAAAUCACUUGUAGGGUUUGCUAAUAUGUGGAUGACAGCAGCAAAUGCACCUUUAAGAUCCUGGCUUAAUUAACAAAUACUUUAUUAGUACAUGAUACAGAUCACAUGGCCCAACUGGAUUAUUGUCGAACUGGUAGCGGAUUACUUGGACAACCUUUCCGUUUUGUUUUUGUGGGUACAUCUAGUUUUGUGUUUUGUGGAAAACUAAAGAGGGCUUUUGCUAAGCCUCCACAUAUGCAUUUACUAAUAUGCUUGUCUUUUAUGCUGUGAACAAAGGUGCAAGAAUUUUGAAAUUGGUGGAGACAAUGCAAGAAGGGCAAGGGAACAUAUGUACCUUCGAAAAUAAAUGGUAUGCCUUGGCUUGUGAAUGUGUCCUUAUAUUGUUUGACUCUUGGGAGGAGCUGCUAGCUUUUGAGUGAAGAGCUGAUACAUUUCUGGGAUGAACACUGGGUAGCUGUAUGAUGAAUCCAUCCAUGUGACUUACUAACUGAUCUCUUGGUUACUAACUGUAGAGCCCCUUAGCUAUAUUUCUUCCAAUAUAUUCUAUUUCAGAAAACACCUCUUCUUUAGAAUUGAGAUCUCUUGGUUCAAUUAUUUUGAAUCCUGUUAUUUGCAAUUAUUUUCCUACAUUAUUAUCAGCACAUAGAAUAGAAAAUUGAAAACUAAGUAGAGGGAGCAUCCUACAUGCAAGUAGCAGCACAUAAACAGCUUGGCUCUUAUACUUCUCAAUUGAGCCGCGAUAGUAGCUAAGGAUCAAAUUUAAAUAACAAAUUUUAGUUUUGUUUGGAAUUUAAAUAUGGCUGUUGUUAUAGCCCAUGUCACAAUAGGACAGGACUUGGAUAGAUUUUCUUACAAAUUAAAUGGUCUGACGAGGUUAAGCAUUGAGAACUGUAUGAGACAGACGUAGACAUAAUUUCUACUAGUUUAGUUUGUGAUGGCCUCUUAGUACUAGUCUGUGCGUAACUAUGUGAGACAUAUUGUAGAUACGGUCACAUUUAUCUACAGACCAUAUGGAUCCUUGCUACUAGUCUGUGAGUAUAUAGGUGGUACUUCUUGUGCAGUAAGAAUAUGAAUCAGUAUGUAGUCUCUGAUUAUAUAAGUAGUAUGAGCUAAUUCUUGGUGAACUAUUUUUUUUACAGAUAUGCACACAUCGGACCAUGAAGAUUUGCACUGGGACCUACAUAAUUGGGUGAGCAUGUCUUUUUAUUUGGUACUAUACUCUAGUGAUAGAUGAAUAGCUAGGGUGGUCACUAUCAUAUUAUAGUGUUCAUUGACACUAAGUAUAUUUGUCACUGGAGAUCAUCCACUACCUGUUGUUUUGUAGAAAUUGAGUACAAUGACAUUUCUUACAUUUAUUAUGUCUUUAUGUUUUGUUGUAGCCUAUGAGUAGUUCGCCUACAUUAAGCUGAGAGAAAAGGAAGUAGCUAGGACAUAUAUGUAUUGCCAUUUUUUAUUUAUUUCUAUAAAGCAACCAUCACAUUUCCACAAUUCUAGUGUACUAUGUAAUCACUUAUGGUUUAACAGACUUGUAUUUUGAUCAUGAGAACUAUCUGUGUACCGUGAAGUGUGAACUAUGUAUAAUGAUAUUUUAUAUUGUACUGUACAUUGUGUUGUGCCAAGUUUUCUUUUUGACCAAAGUUCUAUCUUAACACAGGAAUUUAAAGUGUUGACAAAGCCCAUCGAUGUGCACAUGAUUAGAGGAAGAGUUGUAAGUGGGCCAUGUUCUUAGUGGCACAGGUCAUCAACAAGAACUGAGAGUUCUACCCUCCUAGUUAACCAUCAGUAUGUGUGAUUGCCAUUAUUAAUAUGGGUCGAGUGAUGUAGUGUGUGACUGAAUAAGUUAAGUCCAAUGUUGUGAUGGAUUUCGAACAAGCUGUGAAUCUGUCAAUGAAUUUGAUGUAAAUGUGGGUAUGUUAAACUUGAUAUCUAUUUGAAGAGCUUCUGUUAUGAACAUGUAGUAAUGUAUUGAUGACUUUCAUAUGUAUGUGCUGUGAACAUUGUGGUAUGUGGCUUUAAUAUGGCUCUGAUGGCUUUCAGACGCGUCACUAUUACGAUCAUGUGCGUCACUUGUUUAUUGCUAUUAGUGACAUGCUGGGUUGUUAUGAGUCACUGAUAUCUAAUUAUUAGUGACGCGUAUUGUCAGUACGUGUCGCUCAUACCUCCUUAUUAGUGACGCGUGUUCCCACUAUGUCUCACUCAUAUAUCAUUAUUAGUGACGUGUAUCCUCAAUACGAGUCACUAAUAUGCCCUUAUUAGUGACACGGUUUAUCUAUACGUGUCGCUGGUAUAUUGGUAUCAGUGACGUGGUUUAUCAGUAUGUGUCGCUGGUAUGUUCAUAUCAGUGACGCAGUUUUACACGUCACUAAUUUGUCUACAUCAGAGACGCAAUAAAAGUGACGCGUCCUUUCCGCGUCACUAAUGACCCUCUAGCCGCGUCACUAAUUAGCUUUUCUGGCAUAGUGUUAGGCCAACUACAUACACUAGUAUUGGUUUCAACAAGUAUGGAUUUAUGAUAGUGGAUGACUACACUAGAUACACUUGGGUGUUCUUCCUCUAUGACAAGAGUGAUGUUUAUGAAUUAUUCAAGUCUUUUGUGAAGAGGGUGCAAAAUGAGUUUCAAAUCACUAUCAAGAAGAUUAGAAGUGACAAUGGUAGUGAAUUCAAGAACAUAAGAAUUGAGGAAUUGUGUGAUGAUCUUGGCAUUGGACAUCAAUUCUCUCCAACAUACACUCCUCAGUCCAGUGGUGUAGUUGAAAGAAAAAAUAGAACCUUGAAUGACAUGGCUAGAUCAAUGCUUAGUGAAUACAAUAUUAGUCAUUUAUUUUGGAGUGAAGCUAUCAACACGGCUUGCUAUUGCAACCGUCUUUAUAGCCAUGGAAAACUUGGAAAGACACCAUAUGAGCCAUUGAAUGGACGAAAGCCCCACAUUGCAUACUUUAGCGUGUUUGGAUGCAAAUGCUACAUUCUCAAGAAAGGCACUAGAUUGAGCAAGUUUGAGAAGAAAUGUGAUGAAGGGUUCUUACUUGGUUAUAUUCCACCAUGAGCAAGGCAUAUAGAGUUUGGAACUUGGCAAGUGGCACAUUGGAAGAUGUCCAUGAUGUUGAGUUUGAUGAAAUCGAAGGAUCUCAAUGUGAAGUUCAAAAUCUUGAUGAUGUGAGAGGAUAUCAAUUGGCAAAUAGAAUGAAGAAGAUGGAUGUAGGUGACAUAAGGCCAAGGCACGUUGAUGAUGAUAGUGGUGACAUUCACAUGAUCAAUCAAGAAGUGCAAAUUGAUUGAAAUCAAGCUAGUACUAGUGGCUCUCAUGAUAAUGAUCAAAACCAAGGUCAAGCAAGUGGAAGCAAACAACUGCCAAAACUCCAACCUACAAGCAUAGCAAGGGAUCAUCCAUUGGAUCAAGUCAUUGGUGGUAUUCAAUGUGGUGUACAAUCAAGAUCAAGGCUAGUAUCCUUUUGUGAGCACUAUUCAUUUGUCUCAUUUGAAGAACCAAAGAGAAUAGAAGAUGCAUUGAAGGAUUCCGAUUGGGUAAAUGCCAUGCAUGAAGAAUUGAAUAACUUCACAAGAAAUCAAGUGUGGGAGCUUGUUGAGAGGCCAAAGAACUACAAUGUCGUUGGAACCAAGUGGAUCUUUAGAAACAAGCAAGAUCAAGAUGGUGUAGUUGUGAGAAACAAAGCAAGAUUAGUAGCACAAGGCUACACUCAAGUUGAAGGUCUUAACUUUGGAGAAACAUAUGCACCGGUUGCAAGAUUGGAGGCAAUUAGAAUAUUAUUAGCCUAUGCUUGUGCCCACAACAUCAAGCACUAUCAAAUGGAUGUAAAGAUUGCAUUUCUCAAUGGAUACAAUAAUGAGUUGGUUUAUGUUGAACAACCUCCCAGUUUUGAAGAUGACAAGAAACCCAACCAUGUUUACAAGCUCAAGUGAUGAGGGUCCGGCCCGAUCUUUCGAGAGGUAAUUGGUAAAUUUAUGAGGGUCAUGCCCGAUCUUCCAAAAAAUAAUUGGUAAAUUUGAUUGUGGAGAACUUGAUGUUGGCGAUCUGGCUUCAAAUCAGCACGAUUCGAACCCUACAACCAUUACACCACUGCUCUGUUGGUUAUCAACAAAGCACAACUUGAUUGACCUCGCCAAGAAGGCUUUUCCUAAAAGCGAAUCGAAGAACACAAGCAAGAAAGUAUAAACACGCAAUCUCAAAUUGCAGAUGUGAAUGAUGCAAAUAUUCAAAUGAGGGUUCAAGAACUCGGUUCCAAAGGACUAAUCGACACAGUGGAGGAGAUCAAAAACGGGGCCCUGGAUCACUGUAAAAGGAUUUGUCACCACAGUUACAAUGAACGAUUCAGUUUCUCGAUGGAAAACUAAACUCUAAACAAAACCUUGGUCUAAACAGCGGCGGUUGCAUGGAAUAUAAAGUAGAAGUGACCUAGGGUUGGAGGCGACUAGGGAGAGGUGCCCACAACAUGGGUUUAAGGCCCAAAUUCGAUACAAGAUCAAGUUGGCCCAAAAUAGGUGAUGCAGCACCUUGUCGUGGACAUAACGAUUAAUCCACGAAGGAUCUGGAGCUGGGACUAGAUCCAAAACGACAGCGUCGUUGUCCCCUUUCCAACGAGUCCAAGAUCAUCCUGUUUUGAUGUGGUAUGAAGAAGUUAUGAUCAAAACAAUGAUGACGUGUUUGCUGAAUCCGAGAGUGACGUGGUAGCUGAGUUGGAGAUGAAUUCCAACUUAGAAAAGAUGAUGGUGUCAACGUAUCCAGCGUGGUGAUGUCCUCAUCAUCCUCCCCUUCUUGAAUUAGAGUCAUCCUCGACUCCAUCUUGGUGAUGUCCUCAUCAUCCCCUCCUUCUAGAAUUAGAGUCGUCCUCGACUCUUUCCCAUCAACAAACUCCUGCAAAAGGUUAGUGACAGCAGGCAAUGCACAGGACAUAAUAGGUUGACAAAGCAUAGUAUAACAUGGUGCAUCUGGAUUAUCACAUAAUGCAUCAGUAGUAGAAGUUGUAGCAAGUAAAGCACCUCCAUGUAACUUAUUUUCAUUAUUUUUAUCAAUGUCUGUGGAAGGUUUAUUGUUAAUCUCUUUAGCAUGUUUAACAAUAUCAAUUGGUGACAAAGACAGCAAAGUAAUGUUCUUAUUCUUAUGUAUGAAAGUGUAUGUAUUAGUUCUACCAUGGUGUAAAGCAUCAGUAUCAAAUUCUCAUGGACGUCCUAACAAAAUUGAACAAGCUUGCAUAGGCACAACAUCAAAAUCAGCAGUAUCAUGAUAACAACCUGUGAAGAAACUAAUGCGGGCUGAUUUAGUUACCUUUGUCUUACCACUAUUAUUGAACCUGUUGACACCGUUUUUGGACACGUUGUUGACGGUCCUUAAGUAUCAAAUUUAAUUAACAAAUAAACAAAGAAAAGGAUCCAAAUGAAAUAAAGAUCUAGACUUAGGGUUUUAUCUGACAGAAUUCCACGAGUUUUGGUGUUUGUCUAUUUCUGCAGGGGGUUAUCAGGAAAUAUGGAAGAAAGGCCCACAUGUCAGGAUUACGUAAAGAUAUUAACGUGCUGCGCAAUUAUUUUACAUCUAGAAGACUCCAGAAGCCACGAGACCGAAGCGGAGGCAAAACGGGGCCAGACCCUGGGCGGCCGCCCAGUUGGUCAGGGCGCCCGCCCAGUUGGUCAGGGCGCCCGCCCUGCCCCUGAGUCCAAUCAGGACUCUGCUUUGCGGGAAGUCUCCACCGACCUAAAGGAUGAAUCUAAACCAUACAAUCUAUGUCGGUUUGAUCCAAGGGCCCAUAUUCACUUGAAGGGACUAUAAAACCAGACCCCCUGGCCCCUGGAGGAGAGAGCCUCUCAACCCUAAUUCAUUGUUCCAUCAAGGGAGAAGAAGCCUCUGAUCAAGAUUAGAGCCACCACAUCAAUUAGAUAUCUAGAUUAGCAUAGCUACAUAGGAUUAGAACUAGAAGGAGUCAAUCUUCGAUUGGUUUCCGGAUCUGUCAGGAGGAUUCUUGGUAAUUCUCUAAUUGUGUUUCUAAUUGCUUUCUAAUUAUCUUUGUUCUUCAAUAUUAUGAAUAUGACUUUGUUCUACUUCAAUAUAUUGCUUAUGACUUUGCUCUAUUUGCUUAUAUUCAAGAUUAUAUUGUUCUUAGUUUGUCAUAGUUAUGUACUUGGCUUAGUUAGAUACGAUCUAUAUACAUGCUUAGGAUCGUAUAGCGUUUAUCCAUCGGAUCCAUGGGUAAAUGAUAGAUAUUGUGUAGGCGUGGUGCUUAUACCGUAUUUAUCUGCGAUUGUACCCAAUAUGCCAGAUCGUGGGGUAGUUCGUGAUAGUGAUAGCUUCAUUGAUUCUUAUAUAGUCCCCCUCUCGUGUAUUGGGCUGGCAGAGCAACAUUAUUACAGGGGAGUGAUUGCUAUGUUUCUCAUAUUCCUUGCUAAUAUCACUAUGCAUGGGCGUAGUCUUGUCUCGCAAUGAUUGCUAAGUAUGCUUGCACUGACUAUGAUAUGCUAGACUAUAUAGUUAAGAAUAACUUAGGGAAUAUUCUUGUAGUUCGUUCUAAUACCAUGCUAAUGACUUUCUAGAGUAUCUAAUUGAGGUGCUUAUCAUAUUUAUUAUGUGGCUAGAUCAGAUUAGUUAUCCUUGUCACUAUUAUCAUUUCAUAUAUCUUUUAUGUGACACUUAUCCCUGUAUGAAGAGUUAGAUAUAAUGUUCUCAAUUAUACAUGCAAUGAUAGAUACUCAAUCUCCUAUUCUAUUCUGUAAUCAAUAGUGAUGAUUGAUUAAUCCCUUCCCAGUGGUAAAAAUAUAAAUAACGAUACCUGGAAUACUUCCCGGUUAAAAUGCUGCAUCGGUAUUAAUCUGUGCGCUUGCAGAUCCCAUUCAUUAUUUAUUUAGAAGAGCAAUUGCAUAUUUCAAUACCGCGUCUCUUAUGUCAUACUGGGGAUGACAACUUGGCUUAAGUGGUGUGAGGGAUAGGUUUGGCAUUUUUGGCACCGUUGCUAGAUUUAGAACUUAGUCUACUUUUGGUAAUGAUGUUAAGAAUACCCAACAAGCAUCUUUGGCGCCGUUGCUGGGGAAGGUUGAUUACCAAUCAGGAAUGGAAUAAAAGAUUUUGAGUUAUCAUUCGCAUCACUAAUAUGAUUGAGCUUAUCUAUUCUCUUAUACAGUUUUACCCCGAUAUUUUUCUAUUUUAUCUAUGCAGGGGAAUGUAUGAAUAGAAGACAUCUUCCAGGGAAUUUUGUUGACGAUCCUGAAGCAUUAUUCAAGAAGACGAGGGCCAAGCUAAAGAAAUCAUCAACACUUCACGAAGAAGCUUCAUCCAAUCAAGAAGAUCACCGGAACUUGUCUUCAGAGUUCGAAGUCAUGGCGAACAAAUCAAUCCGCGAGUUCUCAGCUCCCACUACGGACAACAUCCGCACUGGACCUGCUGCAGAGAUCGAUGGCAACUUUGAGCUCAAGCCUGGACUUAUCAACAUGGUGCAAUCCAAUCAGUUCUGUGGGAAGGCACAUGAAGAUGCUAGUGCUCAUUUACAACACUUCCUGGAGAUUUGCAACACAUUCACCAUAGCUGGAGUUUCCAAAGACGCUAUAUUACUUCGCCUCUUCCCAUUCUCACUGUUAGGAAGAGCGAAGCAGUGGUUCUACGCUACAAAGGAAAAGAAUACUACGUGGACACUCUGCUCAACAAACUUCCUAGCUAAGUUGUUUCCCAUGGGCAAGACCAAUGCUCUCCGUGGGAAGAUUACAAGUUUUCAGCAACAAAAUGAUGAAUCUGUUCCAGAAGCAUGGGAGCGCUUUCAAGACUACAUCCUAGAAUGUCCCCAUCAUGGAAUGGAGAGUUGGCUAUUGAUGCAGACAUUCUAUCAUGGGCUCAGCAACAGUGCCCGAGAGACCAUGGAUGCUGCAGCGGGAGGAGCAUUCUUAUCACUUACUAUACCACAAGCCACAGCUCUUGUGGAGAAGAUGGCGUCCAAUCAAAGCUGGAAUGAAGAGAGGACCCAGACACGCAAGAGAGGUGGAGGUAUGCAUCAGCUGAAGGAGGUAGACAUGUUGUCUGCAAAGCUAGACCUGCUCAUGAAGAAGCUCGAUGAUAAAGCUGGAGACAAGAAAGAAGUUAUGCACAUCUACGACUCUCACAUGACUUCUGAGGAGUGUGGAGACACUGGACACUCAGGCAACCACUGCCCUGAGAUACUUGAGGAUGUGAACUACAUCAACAACAACAACUACUACUACAACCGUCCUCAACAAAAUCAAGGUUGGAAUCAACAGAGGCCUAACUGCUCAGGUAAUUAUCAAGGUAACAAUUCUUACAACAAUAAUAAUAAUUUUCCACCUUUGAGAGAGUUAGUGUCUAAUCAAGGUAAGCUAAUGGAUAACCUAUCUAUGAAAUUGGCAUCUAAUGAUAAAAUGCUAGAAAAUAUAAAUAAUAGAAUGGAUAAUUUCUCUACUGCCAUCAAGAAUCAAAUUAGCUUUAAUAAAAUGAUUGAAUCUCAGUUAAAUCAAAUAGCUGCUGCUGUUCCUACUACUAACCCCGGUAUACAUCACAACCGGAAGGAUUAGAAUCUGCAAAUCUUGUAGACAUGUUUGAUGCAGGUAAUUGGAGUAACCCUGUCACUAAAUUCUCUACUGACCAUCUGCCGGUCAAGAGAGGCGAUCCAGGACGCCCCGUCAUCCCGAUCUCCAUCGGCAUGGUGGACGUCCCAGAAGCACUCUGCGACUUUGGCUCUAGCGUCAACAUUAUACCCAGGUACUCUAUGAAAAAUUCUUUACAUAUCCUUUAUUAGAGACAACCAUGUGUUUGUAGUUUGCAGAUCAGACGAUAACUUUUCCAAAAGGAAUAGUGAAGAACCUUUGUGUCCGAGUUGGUACCUUAUAUGCCCCAGCAAACUUCGUAGUGGUAGAGACCGGAAAUGAUGAGAGAGCACCUAUCAUCCUAGGGAGGCCAUUUUUGAACACCACGGGAGCUAUCAUCUACGCCAGUGCUGCCAAGAUCAGUUUCUACGUCAAAGGGAAGAAGGAGACAUUUUUCUUCAAGAACAGGACUACACAAAUUCCAGAUCAAUCCAGACGUAAAUCAAGGAAGAGGACCAACAGGAGAAACAGGAACAAGCAAGUGUGGACCGAGUCAGCAAAGAUGGCCACUACAGUUCAUAAAGGUCAAGAUCAUCAACUUAAGUCACCAUUUUUGACCAAGAAGGACGACCCAGGAAUGCCAAGCAUCUAUUGCUCAAUAAAUGGAUACAACUUCUACAAAACAAUUUGCGACACCGGAUCGGGCGUCAACAUAAUGGCCACAGUCACCUAUUGGCUCUUGUUCGGGACCAUGCCACUAAGACCAACAUACAUUCAGCUCCAGAUGGCAGAUCAGACAUUUCGAGAAGUUCAAGGAAUAGUAUCUGAUGUCCCAGUCAAAAUAGACGAUCAUUUUGUCUACACAGACUUUCAAGUUGUUGACAUGGGAGAAGACGAGUAUGAUCCACCCAUCAUCCUUGGAAGACCGUUCCUCAGCACCGUUAAAGCCAUUAUCUACAUUGGAACUGGAGAAGUCCAUAUGCACUUCCCCUCAGAGAAGGUACGCAGUUAUUUUACUGACCCUAACUAUAUUGUUGAAGAAACUAAGCAGGUCAGAAAGAGACGCAACCGCAACCAGAGGAGGCAGAUCAUCAAGGACGGAUGGGCAGACUAUGAAGGAGAAGUUGUAAGGUCAGAAGACGUAGAGUUUAAACAGAAUUAUCCAGAGGAGAUUGAAGCACCGAGUCAGGUGUGGAAAAUGAAGAUAACUAUACAAGAAGAGGAGGCGCUGCCGGAAGUACCGACUACGCCACCCAACGAACCUCAGGACGAUUAAGAAAUUGGAGAGUCCCGUUCGGAGGACUUAAAAACACCGAACGCCUUGCCAAGAGGUAAACUUGGUAGUUAUCCUUUCCUUUUCAAUUAUUUUAAAUAGUUUACUUAGUUAAUCAUAUUCAUACUAUCUUAAAAAAAUAAAAGAAAAUAAAAAUGUGAAAAACAGUAAGCCCCAUGUGAGUAGACGAGUGGCAUAAAAACCAUAAGUACAUUCACUGUGGUGGCAUAAAAAUAAAAUAAAUAUUUUUCUGCUUUAUAAAAAUAAAAAUAAAAAUAUAAAAACAGGGAGUAAUAAUUAUUAAGGAGUCUCAAGAUGAUAAAGGCUAGAUAUUUAUGCUAACACUUAAUCAGUUCCACAAGCUUUGUUGACUAUUUGAGCUCCACAGAAUUUAAGAAUCAAGAAGACUAGCAGACAGAGGACAUUCUAAUCGCUGUCAGAAUGCUGCUUUCAAAUACACCUCUGCCACCUGCUAGCUACAUCAAGAGAAAUUACGUCAAAAUUCAGCUUGGGGGAGAGCACCCCCAUUUAUCUCGAUAAGUAUUUCUAUCUAUCUAUCUUUAUAUUUAUUUUAGAAUAUUAAUACACAUAAACUAUGGGAAAACCAAAUAAAGAUUUUAUGCUUAUAUAUAUUACUUAGUGUGUUUAAUUAAUAAAUAAAGUGGCUAUGCUAAUCUGUAUCUAAUAAAACUUAAUCAUGGAUAUGAUGAAUAGUUGCUCUGCCUAAUUUGCACAUUUUAAGUUCUCUCUCAAGUUUAGACAUAACUGUUAUAAUUUAAAGCUUGCCCUAGACCUAAACUUGUGGGAUGAAAACUUGAUCUGAAGUCUAAGUUGUUAACGGAUACGAUAUAGGAUUGUUGAGCUGCUGUUUAUCUGUUCCUAGAGAUGCUAGAAUUCUGGAGAAUUUAUCUUUGAAAAUCUUUAAAAUGUUGCAUGAUGAGUUCCUGUAUGAUGAGAGCUUAAAUUCCUACCACAGCCAUAUAUACAUGCUUGCUAGACCUUGAGCCACACAUUUAUUAUUUACUGCUUAUGAGCAUUGAGUGUGGUCAAGCUGUGUAGACCCUUAGGAGCUUGUCAUGUGGUUAAAUCAAGAUUUCACUUGCACGUUCACUCAUAUAUGCCACUUCUACUCCGGAAGUACCAUCCACAUACAUCCACCCAUUCCAUCUCCAGAACCACCUGAAAAUAUUCUACUCCUAAUCCGGGAGAGAAUAACCAAAAAUAUUUUCUAUUUUCCCCUUUGUGAAAUAAAUGCUCAAGUUAUCUUGUUACUACCACUUGCUAUAUUAUCUCAAGAGAUGAAUGCUCUAAAAAAAAGAGAGAGAGAGAAGAAUAAUACGAGGAAAUAAAAAGGAGCAAGUGCUCGGAACCUCGAAAGAAAAGAAAAAGUGAGACGAGAGGUAAAAAUGGACAAGUGUCCGACAGUAGAAUUAGGGGUACAAGAUACCCACCUGAGAGAAAAGAAAAAGAAGAGCAUCUCAUUCUCCUCAUAAAGUUUCAAAAGCAAGGAAGGUAUGUAUCCCCUCAGAAGAGCAAAGUAGAAUUAGACUUUCACCACCAUUGUUUUCACCAUUGUUUUCACCAUUGUUAUCACCAUCAUCACCAUAUACCAUUCAUUCACCACACAUGCACAUCUUGAUUAAACUUAUUGACUUGUUACUUUGGAUCCAUGGUUUGACUAUGCAAUACAUGUCUUGUAAGUAUGUAUAUUUUAUCUCCCACCUAUGAGCUCCAGAUAUUAAAGCCUUAUUAGAGUAGGAUGAGAGAGAAGGCAAUGUUACUAUGCCUCAUACCACAAAUACCACAUAUCUUGAGAGAAGGCAUAUACUAUCAAUGCCUUGGUAAGGAUCCAAAAAUACCACAAAAGAGAGACCUGAGAGAAUCAUACAAGGAAUUCUGAGUUUUAUUUGAAAAUCUCCAAAAAUCCCAGAGCUAUAGCUGAUCAAGAAUAAGAGACAUGGCACUUGGCUAGACUGUUCUAUCUUUUAACCACUCAAGACAGAAGUGACAGUUACAAGUCCCAUGGUGAAGGUAAAGUAAGUAAGUUUUAAGUCUUGACAGUUUACUCUAACUCAGAGAUGAGAUCUUAUUUAAGAGCAUGUGUACCGUCAAAUUUUUAAAGAUAUUGCAGCAACUUCUGAUCCAUAGCUGAGUCUAUCCUUGCUCAGGGACGAGCAAGAGGUAAGCUUGGGGGAGUUUGUUGACGGUCCUUAAGUAUCAAAUUUAAUUAACAAAUAAACAAAGAAAAGGAUCCAAAUGAAAUAAAGAUCUAGACUUAGGGUUUUAUCUGACAGAAUUCCACGAGUUUUGGUGUUUGUCUAUUUCUGCAGGGGGUUAUCAGGAAAUAUGGAUGAAAGGCCCACAUGUCAGGAUUACAUAAAGAUAUUAACGUGCUGCGCAAUUAUCUUACAUCUAGAAGACUCCAGAAGCCACGAGACCGAAGCGGAGGCAAAACGGGGCCAGACCCUGGGCGGCCGCCCAGUUGGUCAGGGCGCCCGCCCUGCCCCUGAGUCCAAUCAGGACUCUGCUUUGCGGGAAGUCUCCACCGACCUAAAGGAUGAAUCUAAACCAUACAAUCUAUGUCGGUUUGAUCCAAGGGCCCAUAUUCACUUGAAGGGACUAUAAAACCAGACCCCCUGGCCCCUGGAGGAGAGAGCCUCUCAACCCUAAUUCAUUGUUCCAUCAAGGGAGAAGAAGCCUCUGAUCAAGAUUAGAGCCACCACAUCAAUUAGAUAUCUAGAUUAGCAUAGCUACAUAGGAUUAGAACUAGAAGGAGUCAAUCUUCGAUUGGUUUCCGGAUCUGUCAGGAGGAUUCUUGGUAAUUCUCUAAUUGUGCUUCUAAUUGCUUUCUAAUUAUCUUUGUUCUUCAAUAUUAUGAAUAUGACUUUGUUCUACUUCAAUAUAUUGCUUAUGACUUUGCUCUAUUUGCUUAUAUUCAAGAUUAUAUUGUUCUUAGUUUGUCAUAGUUAUGUACUUGGCUUAGUUAGAUACGAUCUAUAUACAUGCUUAGGAUCGUAUAGCGUUUAUCCAUCGGAUCCAUGGGUAAAUGAUAGAUAUUGUGUAGGCGUGGUGCUUAUACCGUAUUUAUCUGCGAUUGUACCCAAUAUGCCAGAUCGUGGGGUAGUUCGUGAUAGUGACAGCUUCAUUGAUUCUUAUAUAGUCCCCCUCUCGUGUAUUGGGCUGGCAGAGCAACAUUAUUACAGGGGAGUGAUUGCUAUGUUUCUCAUAUUCCUUGCUAAUAUCACUAUGCAUUGGCGUAGUCUUGUCUCUCAAUGAUUGCUAAGUAUGCUUGCACUGACUAUGAUAUGCUAGACUAUAUAGUUAAGAAUAACUUAGGGAAUAUUCUUGUAGUUCGUUCUAAUACCAUGCUAAUGACUUUCUAGAGUAUCUAAUUGAGGUGCUGGUCAUAUUUAUUAUGUGGCUAGAUCAGAUUAGUUACCCUUGUCACUAUUAUCAUUUCAUAUAUCUUUUAUGUGACACUUAUCCCUGUAUGAAGAGUUAGAUAUAAUGUUCUCAAUUAUACAUGCAAUGAUAGAUACUCAAUCUCAUAUUCUAUUCUGUAAUCAAUAGUGAUGAUUGAUUAAUCCCUUCCCAGUGGUAAAAAUAUAAAUAACGAUACCUGGAAUACUUCCCGGUUAAAUUGCUGCAUCGGUAUUAAUCUGUGCGCUUGCAGAUCCCAUUCAUUAUUUAUUUAGAAGAGCAAUUGCAUAUUUCAAUACCGCGUCUCUUAUAUCAUGCUGGGGAUGACAACUUGGCUUAAGUGGUGUGAGGGAUAGGUUUGGCAUUUUUGGCACCGUUGCUAGAUUUAGAACUUAGUCUACUUUUGGUAAUGAUGUUAAGAAUACCCAACACACGUAUAUGGGAGUUAAUGAGGUGUAGAUCGGCAGGCGAAUAAAAUGGUGACUAGUUGAUAGAGGAGUUGCAGAUAAGGGUUGAUACCGAUGAUAAAACAACAGAAUGUGGUCAAGUCCAGGAGCGGUGAUGGAUCUGUGUCGAUGACUGAUGCUGAUGGUUGUCGAUGGCUACGAAAUGUGAUUUGCUGAUGGACACAAAAGGAGGCGCAGGGAUUGUCGAUCAGAUGGUGAUUUUGUGCCGAUCAGUUGUGGUAGAUAGAUUAAUGUUUUCCAUAGUUGUUAGAGUUUGGUUUGCAUAUGGAUUCCGUUCAAUUUGGAAUUUGAGUCCUAGUCAUGUCUGAUUGUAACCCAUUGGGCAAGGUAUAAAUAUAAGACCCCGUAGCGAUGUAGGAUACACACAAUCAAUCAAACAUAAGUUUUUACAUUUAAUCCAGCAUCUACUUUUUCGACGACUUCGUCAACUCGCAUAUUUUCUUUUUACUUACGAGUUCUUAGGAAUUCAUCGAGUCAAUCUCGACGAAUUCUCAAGUUCUGCGUGAAUAACUCUUAGCCGUGACAUCUGGGCGCAUCGCUGUUGUCAUGACCAAAGUAUUCGAGUUAUCACCUUUGUCGAUUGCAAGGUCAAAACGGCUGGCACGCCUUAACGUUGAAUCGGGUAUUAGCCCUUUGUGUUUGCAGAUCUACUUUUGCACCAACAUAUCUUUUGGCAUGCCCAGUGGGACAGAGAUUCAAUAUCAAGAUCAACAGGUCGAACACCAAUUUCGACUUGGAGAACGUCAUCCCCGUCACGGAAGCCAAUCUCAGAGAUGAACAGAAGCAAGCUAUGGCAAAAGCUAUGGAGGACUACAAGCAGCUAUGGAGGACUACAAGUAGCUAUGCUUAAAAUCCUUCAGUAUCAACAGGAGCAGUGAGGCAAUCCAGAAGGAAUCAUUGCCGAUGCCUCGGCAGAUUACUUUUGAAGCCAAUCCUGGUAAACUACAAGAGAUGGUUGAUAGUGCUGUCAAUCGUGCUCUAAUCAAUCAAUCUGGUGUGCUGUCCAAUACGGUUUUCAAUGUUGUGGCUAGAAUUUUCAAAGAAGGACAAAUACCACCAUCUCAUGUGGGCCCUGCCUAUCAUCAGCCAGGAUCAUCAUCGGUUAUGGCUCCAUCGGCUACUACAGCCGUUGAGGGUACGGAAGUUACUUCUCCUCCAAGCACAUUAGGGAUGACUAAUGCGCAAUCUACAUCGAUAGUGACAAAUCCAUAAACAUCAGAGGAACAGGUGAUAUGACCACGCCACCAAGCAAGAUGUCACAACCUCCAAGUCAAGCUACACCCACUCAAGUUUCACCUACACCGACACAAGCCCAAGUCAUCGAUGGACCGAUUACACGUAGUCGUGCAAAGAAGCUACAACAAGAGGUCCACGCGCUACUUUGUGAGAUUCAUUUUAACAUUAAUGAGAAUUAUAUACUACCUUAGUGUUGCACCUUGAUUAUACUCAGGUAUAUAGCAGAAGAGAAGGAUGAAUCGGACCCUGAAGAACGGACCAGUGCAAGUUCCAAAAGAAGUCAAAAAUAGACCAGUGGAAGUCAAAAACGGACCAGUGCAAAUAAAUCUUCCUAACUUUUUACUCACAAAAGGUAUGAAGGUCCAUGAGCACUUGUUGGGAAGCUUGACGAGUCUACUUUCCAAUGAAUCUAGUGGCGACCAGUUUGGACACACCAUAUUGCCUGCAGACCAGAAUUAGUAUAGACUGCUCAGAAGGUCAACAGUCUGUCGUGACAGAAUGUUGGUACAACUUGCCGAGUAAAACUGUACGAAUCUACAAUGUUUCGUGCUGUUUGGCAUACAUUGCUGGAAAGCCCUUUGAGUCUAGUUUCACAACCAAGAAUGCUUCAUCAUUUGGACUUCCCAAUAAAAAGUUAUGGUCAGUUUAUUGGAAACUGCUCUGGAGGCCAACAAUCAUGCGAAGCCACUUCGGGAAUCCAUUUCGAGGGGACCUUUCACAUUGCCUUCCAUCAGAAACUCUAUUUCGUUUUCGUACCUAUCUAGCAGGGUUGUUGCUAGUAUAAAUACCCUCUAAGACUCAUUAUAAUCUCACACUUUUGAUAAUUGAAAUACAGAACCCUUUUGUUCAGUUGCGUGCUAACAAAUUCAGAGAGUGAUCUCUACCCCUUUGCUCUUGUGAUUUCCUCGCGGGAUUACAUAGGCGGCAGCUUCAUCCGCUCCCAAUUGGUGCUCCUACUCCCUUCAAAGUAUUCCUUGAUUGAUUGUAGGCUGUGUUGGUUGGUUCUUUGAGAGUGUGGUUGGGCGAAUCCUCGAUUCAGGUUGCCGGUUAAAGACGGUGGUUGGCUUCGAGUUUUAUUUGCCAGGUUGCACUAGUUAUCGCUGCUUGCAGCGAGUUAUCCGGCUGUUCUUCAGCUAGUUAUCGGUGUUCUUCCUAUGUUGUGAAGAUCGAGACAACGUGUCGCAUCAUCUGGUAUCAAAGCUUUUGUUACCACGGUAGGAAUUUUAUCCCUAGCUACAUAUAUAUUUUGCUUUGUCCUAUCCACCAAAAAGCCAGAAAAAUAUAUUUCUUAGACCUUUGUUUCAAUCUGUUAUUUUAGUGAGUUUGGUUAAGUCGCAGUCCAUUAGAGUCUUUGUUUUAGUUGCUGAUCAUUUAUCCUUCGUGUGUUCUUUGUGCCUCUUUUAUAUCUAAAAAUCCCCACAAAAAAAAUCUCUAUAGCCUAUGUCAUCCUUUGUGUUAACUUUGAUCCUAUCUAGCUACUGGUUGUUGUUUUAUUUCUGUCUUUAGUUGUGCAAGUAUCAUAAUCUGAUCCCUAUUUUGAGUUCUAUAUAUAAAAAAAAGUGUGUCACAAAAAAAAGAAAAGAAAGUGCAAAAAAAGUGGAGUGAAAAAAAAAAAGUUGAGAAAGGUUCAGAGAGAAAGUCUGAAAGAUUAGUUGGUUUAUGUGCACAAGUGUUGAAAGUUUCAUAUCAAGUUCUGCAACCAGUUUGCUAUCUUUGUGUGGUGCAAAACUUUGGUUGUGUAAAAUUGCAACACUUGCAUCCCAAUCAUACUCCUUGUUUGCAUCAAUUUUGAAAUUUCUUUGCGUGUGUGUGAUCUAUUUAUACACUUCGAAUCUUUUGAUCAGCACUAGGAAGAGAACUUCUAGUUUGGAUCGUUACUUAACUUUAUAACAACUAGAAUUUAGAUUGCAUUCCUUGUGUAUUACUCCCCACCAAGCUCCACAUAAAAACCAUCGUAAUCGGUACUUUCUGUUCUUGUAUUCGCCUCGCCAUCACUUUCAAUUGCCACCACACAUUUGUUUUCCUUGUAAUCUACAGCAGAAGAAUUCAUAAGAGCUUUGGUGGUUAGAGAGGUGAGUUGUGAGGGCCACCAAAUUUUCAUAUUCCACAAAUACAAAUUUUUUGUAUUCAGCUAACCUUACAGGAAGAUGGGUGAUGGAAUAGAGGAUUGUGUUACUUUGGCACAAUUUAAUGAACUCCGACAAAGCAUAGAAGAAAAGCAAGAUAGGUUGACACAAGAUCUUCAGAACCUUAUGACUGAAAUCAGAAGGCGUCGCCAACCUCAUGAUGGAGCAAGCAACCAUGGUGAAGAUGGAGAUAUGAGUGAUAGAAGUGCUGCUAGUAGAAGCUCAAGGGAACAAGGAAGGAGGAACCGAGGUAGGGGAAGAGGUCAAGGUCGAAGAAAUCAUGAUAAUGAAGAAUCUGAAAAAGAGGAUGAUGAUGAUCAUUCUCAAUAUCGAUAUGGUCGCUGACAUCAUAGAAGAGGCAAUCAUAAGGAGAGGCUGGGAAAACUAAAGUUUACCAUGCCAAAGUUUGAUGGUGGGUCUGAUCCUGAAGCUUAUUUCACUUGAGAGCUGAAAGUGGAUAAAGUCUUUCGCUUGCAUAAUUAUUCAGAAGAGAAGAAGCUGGCAAUGGCAUCUCUAGAGUUUGAAGGAUAUGCUCUGAUAUGGUGGGAGCAGCUCCUCAGUGAUCGUGAAGAAGAUGGAAGACAUCCUAUUGCAAGUUGGGAUGAAAUGAAGAGAGAAAUGAGAAGUCGUUUUGUGCCGAAGCACUAUCGGCGUGAUCUUUUUGAUACAUUGCAGAAUUUGAAGCAAGGAAGUCUCUCUGUUGAAGAGUAUUAUAAGGAUAUGGAGAAAUCUAUGAUUAGAGCCAAUGUGUAUGAAGAUGAAGAGCAAACUAUUGCACAUUUUAUGGCUGGGCUGCAUCGCAAUAUUCAGCGCAUUGUUGAGUUUCAGCCAUACCGUCAUCUUAUUGAUUUGGUACAUCAAGCAACCAAAGCUGAACGUCAAUUGCAGCAAGAUGCUUAGAGCAGCAAGUCCUUGUCCUUUGGUAUGAGGAACUUCUCUAGAGGAAGCAAAUCAAUCACCAAGUUUUCUGCUGAACCAUCCAUGGUGAAAGGCUCAAGUGGAGGCUCACGAUCUAAUUUUCAGGGUACUUUUAGUGGAAAGAACACUGUUGUCCCAAGUUCAAAACCAGCAGCAUCAAACACUACUUCAGCGGGUUCCACUUCCAAGAGUAGUGAAAUUCAGUGCUUCAAGUGUGGAUACCGUGGACAUGUAUCAAGAGAGUGUCCAAAUAAUCAUGUGGUCAUUGUGAAUGAUAGUGGAGAAUUUGAAUCAGCUAGUAAAGAGGAAGCUGAGGAAGAACAUGUUGGUGAGGCCCAUCAAGAUGAGGAACAUACUGGCUGUAAAUUUGAGCAUGGUGCUGCUCUUAUGGUGACUCAAAUCUUGAGUGUUAAAAUGAAAGAAGCUGAAAAUGGGCAGCGACAUAAUUUAUUUCAAACUAGUGCAAAGGUACAUGAUAAGGUGGUGAAGGUGAUUAUUGAUGGAGGGAGCUGCCAUAAUCUUGCUAGUCGUGAGAUGGCUGAUAAACUUGGCCUGAAGCUGCUACGACACCCUCAUCCAUAUUAUGUACAGUGGCUGAAUGAUUCGGGAGAUAUCAAGAUUGGAUAUAAAGUAAAUGUUCCAUUCAAAAUUGGUGAAUAUGUUGACACAGUAGAGUGUGAUGUGGCGCCUAUGUCGGUGUGUCACUUGCUGCUUGGAAGGCCAUGGCAAUAUGAUCGAUAUAGCCCACAUUAUGGGAGAACAAAUCAGUUUACUAUCAAUCUAACAGGGAAGAAGCUUGUUCUCAAGCCUAUGACGCCCCAACAAAUCAUGGCUGAACAUUUAUAAAAGAAAUCUGAAAUUGUUUCAGUGAGUAGAGAGGAAGGAGAGCAAAAGAAAUUGAGUGCCAUCCACAAUUCGGUGAGUGAGUGCCACAAGCCAAAUUUGAGGGAGAAAAAGAAAGGAGAGGGAGAGAAUUUAGUCAUGCUAGCCACAAUAUCUGAAAUGAGAGAAGUGAGGAACAACCCUGAACAAGUGCUCUUUGUACUUGUGUACAAAGAUAUUUUAAUUUCAGCUAACGACAUGACCUCUCUUCCUAGUGUUGUGUCUCAUCUUUUGCAAGACUAUGGAGAUGUCUUUCCAGAAGAAACACUGACAGGACUACCUCCAAUUCGUGGGAUUGAGCAUCAAAUUGAUCUCAUUCCAGGGGCUGCACUACCUAAUCGACCACCAUACCGAACCAAUCCAGAAGAAACAAAAGAGAUACAAAGGCAAGUGCAAGAACUUCUUGAUAAAGGUUUUGUUCGUGAAAGUUUAAGUCCUUGUGCUGUUCCUAUAAUUUUAGUACCUAAGAAAGAUGGUUCUUGGAGAAUGUGUGUUGAUUGUAGAGCUAUAAAUAACAUCAUUGUUCGCUAUCGCCAUCAUAUCCCACAUUUAGAUGACAUGCUUGAUGAAUUAAGUGGUUCCACCAUAUUCACUAAAAUUGAUUUGAGAAGUGGAUACCAUCAGAUAAGAAUGAAAAUAGGGGAUGAAUGGAAAACUGCAUUUAAAAUAAAAUUUGGGCUGUAUGAAUGGUUUGUUAUGCCUUUUGUUUUAACUAAUGCUCCUAGUACUUUCAUGAGAUCAAUGAACCAUGUCUUGAGAGCUUUCAUUAGAAAAUUUGUUGUUGUCUACUUCGAUGAUAUCUUAAUUUACAGCAAGUCUUUUGAGGAACACGUGAAUCAUAUUCGACAAGUCUUGGAAGAGCUUAGAAAGGAGAAAUUAUUUGCUAAUCUUGAGAAGUGCAGUUUUUGCACAGACCAUGUUGUGUUUCUUGGCUUUGUUGUUUCAGGAAAGGGCAUAGAAGUGGAUGAAAGCAAGGUGAAAGCCAUCAAGGAUUGGCCAACUCCAACAAAUGUAAGUCAAGUAAGAAGUUUUCAUGGCCUUGCUGGUUUUUAUAGGAGGUUUAUGAGAGAUUUCAGUACCAUCGCUGCUACUUUGAAUGAAUUGACAAAGAAAGGUGUUGACUUUAAUUGGGAAAAAUCACAACAAAAUGCAUUUCAAGAAUUAAAGAAACGUUUGACUGAAGCACCUGUACUUGUUCUUCCUGAUUUUACUAAAACUUUUGAAAUAGAAUGUGAUGCUAGUGGAAUUGGGAUAGGAGGAGUUUUAAUGCAACAAGGAAAACCUGUAGCAUAUUUUAGUGAAAAACUAGGAGGUGCUCAACUGAAUUAUUCUGUGUAUGAUAAAGAAUUAUAUGCUUUGGUGCGUGUGCUUUAAACAUGGCAACACUACUUAUGGCCAAAAGAAUUUGUUAUUCACUCUGAUCAUGAAGCUUUGAAGUACUUGAAAGGACAAGCAAAACUGAACCGUCGUCAUGGCAAAUGAGUUGAGUUCAUCGAAACAUUUCCAUACAUUGUGAAAUAUAAGAAAGGUAAGGAUAAUGUUGUUGCUGAUGCUCUGUCACGAAAGAGUGUGUUGCUAAACCAACUUGAGGUAAAGGUUUUGGGACUUGAUAGUUUGAAAGAACUGUACAGUAAUGACCCUGAUUUUUCAGAACCAUAUAAUCAUUGUAAAAAUGGAAAAGGUUGGGUAAAGUAUCAUAUACAUGAUGGAUUUUUCUUUAGAGCUAACAAAAUAUGUGUUCCAAAUUCUUCGGUUAGAUUGCUUUUGUUGCAGGAGUCUCAUGGGGGAGGAUUGACAGGCCAUUUUGGACAAAGGAAAACUAUGAGCUGCUAGAAGAUCAUUUUUAUUGGCCCAAGAUGAGAAGAUAUGUCAUCAGAUUCGUGGAGCGAUGCGUUAGUUGUCACAAAGCUAAGUCUAAACUGAACCCUCAUGGUUUAUAUACUCCUUUACCUACUCCUAAAACUCCUUGGGAAGACAUAAGCAUGGAUUUUGUCUUGGGAUUGCCAAGAACUCAGAAAGGAAAAGAUUCAAUUUUUGUUGUGGUUGAUAGAUUUUGAAAGAUGGCUCGUUUUAUUCCUUGUAACAAGAGCGACAAUGCUUCACAUAUUGCUAAUUUGUUCUUCAGGGAAAUUGUGCGGCUGCAUGGAAUGCCUAGAACCAUUGUAUCUAAUCAUGAUGUCAAGUUUGUGAGCUAUUUUUGGAAAACAUUAUGGGCAAGGCUUGGUACCAAGCUUUUGUUCUCCACCACUUUUCACCCUCAAACCGAUGGACAAACUGAAGUGGUGAAUCGCACAUUGUCAAUGUUGCUGCGAACUAUGGUGAAAAAGAACCUGAUGGUUUGGGAGGAAUGCUUGCCACAUGUGGAGUUUGCAUAUAACAGGGCAGUACACUCUACCACUAAUAUGUGUCCUUUUGAAAUUGUAUAUGGGUUCAAACCUAUUGCUCCUAUAGAUUUGUUGCCCCUUCCAUUGCAGGAAAGAACUAAUAUGGAAGCCUCCAAGUGUGCUGCAUACAUCUAGAAGGUACACGAGAAGACCAAGGAAGCAAUUGAACUCAAGGCAGGACGUAAGGCUGCAAAUAUGAACAAACAUAGGAAGAAGGUGUUAUUCGAACCCGGGGACUUGGUGUGGAUACACUUGCGCCAGGAUCGCUAUCCUCAGCAGCGCAAAUCAAAAUUGCUGCCACGAGGAGAUGGUCCAUUUUGUGUUCUUGAGAAGAUCAAUGACAAUGCAUACAAGAUUGAUCUUCCUGCAAGUUAUGGCGUGAGCAACUCCUUCAAUGUUGCUGAUCUCUCACCAUUCACAAGUGAAGACACUUUAGAGUCAAGGACGACUCCUUUUCAAGGGGGGAGGAUGAUAUGACCACGCCACCAAGCAAGAUGUCACAAGCUCCAAGUCAAGCUACACCCACUCAAGUUUCACCUACACCGACACCAGCCCAAGUCAUCGAUGGACCGAUUACACGUAGUCAUGCAAAGAAGCUACAACAAGAGGUCUACGCGCUACUUUGUGAGAUUCAUUUUAACAUUAAUGAGAAUUAUAUACUACCUAAGUGUUGUACCUUGAUUGUACUCAGGUAUAUAGAAGAAGAGAAGGAUGAAUCGGACCCUGAAGAACGGACCAGUGCAAGUUCCAGAAGAAGUCAGAAACAGACCAGUGGAAGUCAAAAACGGACCAGUGCAAAGAAAUCUUCAUUACUUUUUACUCACAAAAGCUAUGAAGGUCCAUGAGCAGUUGUUGGAAACCUUGACAAGUCUACUUUCCAAUGAAUCUUGUGGCGACCAGUUUGGAUACUCCAAAUUGCCUGCAGAUCAGAAUUAGUAUAGACUGCUCAGAAAGUCAACAGUCUGUCAUGACAGAAUGUUGGUACAACUUGCCAAGUAAAACUGUACUAAUCUACAAUGUUUUGUGCUGGUUGGCAUACAUUGCUGGAAAGCCCUUUGAGUCUAGUUUCACAUCCAAGAAAUGGUUCAUUAUUUGGACUUACCAAUAAAAAUUUAUGGUCAGUUUAUUGGAAACUGCUCUGGAGGCCAACAGUCACGCGAAGCCAGUUCGCGAAUCCAUUUCGAGGGGACCUUUCACAUUGCCUUCCCUCAAAAACUCUAUUUUGUUUUCAUACCUAUCUAGCAGGGUUGUUGCUAGUAUAAAUACCCCCUAAGACGCAUUGUAAUCUCAGACUUUUGAUAAUUGAAAUAUAGAACCCUUUUGUUUAGCUGCGUGCUAACAAAUUCAGAGAGUGAUCUCUACCCCUUUGCUCUUGUGAUUUCCUCGCGGGAUUACAUAUGCAGCGGCUUCAUCCGCUCCCAAUUGGUGCUCCUACUCCCUUCAAGGUAUUCCUUGAUUCAUUGCAGGCUGUGUUGGUUGGUUCUUUGAGAGUGUGGUUGAGCGAAUCCUCGAUUCUGAUUGCCGGUUAAAGACAGUGGUUGGCUUCGAGUUUUAUUUGCCAGGUUGCACUAGUUAUUGCUGCUUGCAGCAAGUUAUCCAGCUGUUCUUCAGCUAGUUAUCGGUGUUCUUCCUACGUCGUGAAGAUUGGGACAAGAUGUCGCAUCAAUAGACUGAGGCAGCGCAAUGAUGAAUCAGUUGAAAGUUUUGUGCAGAGGUUACGAGAUGUUAAGAAUAAAUGCUAUAGUGUGGUUCUGGAUGAUCGGCAGCUAGCCGAUUUGCUUUCCAGGGAUUGUUGCCACACAUUAAAUACAAAUAUGCUUCUCAAGAGUUUGAAAGCCUGAGUCAUUUAGUGCAGAGGAUUUCUGACCAGGAUAUCAAAGUUUUUGAACCUAAGAGAGUAUGGAACAAAAAGGUGUCAUUUGUCGAUGAGGCAACAAGCUCAGACUCUGAUGAAGAACCAGUCAUCAGCUUGGUAGAGUGGGUAAAGAAUAAGAAGCCGAUGUCUUGCCCUUUUGGGCAUAAAGAACCAAAAAAGUUUGUAUUUGAUAUCACCAAAACCAAUAGGAUAUUUGACUUUCUCCUUCAGGAGGGGCAAAAUAAUUUGUCACCCAAUCAUGUGAUUCCAUCGGCCAAAGAGUUAAAGAAUAUCAAGUAUUGCAAGUGGCGUAAUGCAACAUCUCAUAGUACAAAUGAGUGCAAGGUUUUCAGGCAACAGCUGCAAUCGGCUAUAGAAUCUGGGAGAAUUAAGUUCGAUAGCUCCAAAGCUCAAAAGCCGAUGAAGAUCGACCAACAUCCUUUCCCUACAAAUAUGUUGGAUGCUAAGGGAAAGACCAAAGUAUUGACUUCAGAGGCAGCUAAAAGAAGUGCAUCGGUAGAUCCUCCGCAUCAGAUUACUGCUGAUGAUGCCAAAGGUAAGGGCUUGAUCCAGGAAGGAACCAGCUCGGGAAGGCCUCCUCGAUCUGGCAUUGCAAUCACUCAUAGAAGGCAUCGGGAAACCUGGCAGCACCGUGAAGAUCGGUAUCGGCGCCAACAGGAGGAUCGUCAUUGGGAAGAAGAAAGACGCCGACAAGAGUGGAAUCGGUAUAAAGAUCAUUGGAAUUGUCAGUUCUUCAUCCACUGUUGGGAGCAAAACAUCAAGCUACCAACUGUUAGAGACUGUCCUGAGUGCAAUAUCUACAAUUGGUAUGAUAAACUGAAUUGGCAGUAUCAAGACAAUGAUCGGCGUUUGGUGGGCCGAUUAGAGGAAGGGCGUCAGUUCAUGAUCGACUAGUGGGCAAACUCAGAGUGCAUGACAGGCUUGGUGAGCGUGUCGGUUAUUUUCCUAGGAAGCAAGAAGAGCUUGAGGAAAUGGCAGAUGCACGAGUUCCUGAUGAAUUCAUAUUCUGUAGGGAUGCUAAUACUUAUCGGGUGGAAUCAAGAGAAAAUCGUCGUCAAUCGGUAAAGCAACCAUAACUUCCUCCAUGGUGUCUAGAAGGGUUGACAAGGACACAGAAGAGAAGGUUGCAGCAGGAGCGACAAGAAGAACUGAGUAGAGGAGAGAAUUCUGCUAAGUCUGUAGAUCGGCAGCAGUUAUAUCCUAAAGGAAAAGGUCUAUGGGCAGAUGUUAAUAUGGUGUUUAUGUUGCCGAUGGAAUUCCAUGUGCCCUUUAGUGAUGAUGAGGGCGUGAAUUUUCUCGAUCAGAUAGCUCAGUUGGCUCUAGAUCCGAUGACGACUAUUUUUAAAAAGCCCGCUGAUAAUGAGAGACAACAUCUUAAAGCUCUGUUCGUCAAAGGCAGGGUUGAUGGACAGCCGAUGACCAAGAUACUUGUUGAUGGUGGGGCUGCUAUCAAUAUUAUGCCAUACGCAGUCUAUCGGAAGCUUGGCAAAGGAGAUCAAGAUUUGACCAAGACCGAUAUGAUGUUAAAGGAUUUUGAAGGAAAUGUGUCUCCAGUCAAUGGAGCCAUAUGUGUUGAGUUGACCAUCGGCAGCAAAACCUUGCCGACAACUUUCUUCAUCAUCAGUGGAAAGGGUGCUUAUAAUUUGCUGUUGGGUAGAGAUUGGAUUCAUGCUAAUUGUUGCAUGCCAUCUACAAUGCAUCAAUGCUUGGUUCAUUGGGUAGGUGACAAAAUUGAAAUUGUCCCAGGGGAUUCUUCAUAUGUCAUUGCAUCGGCAGAAGCAGAUACUUAUGAAAAGACCAGAUGCAUUUCAGGAGAGGUUUGGGAGAAGGAUUUCCUCAAGGUCGCCGAUUAUGAAAUUCCACUGAUCCAAGCAGUCGGUUCUGACGAAGAGUUUUAAUGGAUAGGUUUGUCGAUGAUGGAAAAUUAGGCCGGGGGUUUACAUCAGCCGAUGAUCUAGUAGAAGUAGAUAUAGGUAAUGGUGAUAGGCCAAGGCCUACUUUUAUUAGUGCUAAGUUAGAUUCUGAGUAUAAGCAACAAUUAUCCGAUUUGUUAAAGGAAUAUAAAGAUUGCUUUGCUUGGGAUUAUACAGAGAUGCCUGGUUUAGACCGAUCGAUUGUUGAACAUCGGUUACCUAUCAAAUCUGGAUUUCGGCCGCAUCAACAGCUAGCUCGCCAAUGCAAUCCUAAUAUUCUUUCUAAUAUUAAGGCUGAAAUAACUAAACUCAUUGAGGUUAAAUUUAUUCGGCAAUGUCAGUUUGCCGAGUGGAUUUCUAAUGUCGUUCCAGUUUACAAGAAGAAUGGGAAGCUUCGUGUCUGCAUUGAUUUCAGGAAUCUUAACAAGGCUACUGUUGACGUUUCUUGAGUACCAAAUAUAAUCAUCAAAUAUAUAAAGAAAAGGAUCCAAAUGCAACCAACACCCAGACUUAGGGUUUUAUCUGAUGGAAUUCCACGAGUUUUGGUGUUUGUCUAUUUCUGCGGGGGUUAUCAGGAAAUAUGAAGGGAAGGCCCACACAUCGGGUUUACAUAGAGAUAUUAACGUGUCGUGCAAUUUUCUAUCAUCUAGAAGACUCCAGAAGCCACGGGAACGAACGGGAGGCCGAACGGGCCCGGGGGCAGGGCGCCCGCCCUCCCCGCUUGGGCGCCCGCCCUGGUACAAGCACCAAUCACAGAAUGGAGUACACCAUGACAAAGAUCUCGUCAAGCUGAUUGAAAUGCAUAUAUUAUUUGCUAUAUUUGGAGUUCGGAAUCAAGAGAUAUUAAUAAAAGGACUUCACAAAAAAGAGCUGCGGGAUUAAUUGGGCCCAAAUUAGAUUUUGGUCCAUUAAAGCCUAUGUGCAUUUUAAUAAGAUAUGGUGGAAAGUUUAGUACCACAUCGCCUGUUGAACCAAAAAUGCACAGAGGAGGACUAUAUAAGCAGACCAAUGUGAGUAGAAUUAGAUCUUCUAGUUUCUACUAGAUUAAGAGAUAUAGAGUGGAGGUGUAGAUCGGAGGAAGCCCGGCCUGUCGGUGUCUACUCUGAGGUUGUACCUGCGGGAUCAAGUCUCCUAACCCGAGGCUUGCCCCUAGGAUUCUUCAGUAAUUCGACUUCUAAAUUCUAGUAAGUUCUUGUUUUAUUGUUCUUUGGUUUAUGAGUUUACUUUAAUCUCUUUCGGUUGAGUAUUAGAGUAAUCAUUGCUAGCGUAAACAUGGUGUUUAGGCUAGUGUACUCAUAGAUAUCCCCUGACUAGCUGGACCGUGGUAGUAGCGAGGAACGUGACAUGUCCGAGUUACCUUUGCAUCCCAUAUCUUGUUAGCAGGACAGGUAGGGUUUAUAGGUGCGGGUCGAACAUCCUUUGUAGUGUCUAGAUUCCGUGAGCCUCUCCAUUAGAACAGUAGAUCAUCCUUACCAAGGUUAGAACGAUACUACGGUUGCAGUCUUCUCUAUACAUCGCUCACAUCGAGAAACAUUCUUUGUAGCCUAAAGGGAUAGUAGCAAUAGAUUUGGUUAGUCAGAUGCACCCUUUCUCCCAGUGGUAAAAAUAUAAAUACGAUACUCUAGAUAACCUCCCGGGUGAAAUGCUCACCGAUAUCCGUGCGCUUGCGGAUCAUUUCCUCAUUGCGUUACCAAAUAUCAACAAGCAUUUCUGGCGCCGUUGCCGGGGAGAAAGAUGGUUUGCUGAGAUAACUUUUAGUCUUGCUAUUAUCAUGUAUUAUACAUUUUAUUCUUUUAUCUUUUUAUUUUUUCCAUCUUUAUGGAUAACUCAAAUUCCACACCUAUUAUUGAUUUUUUUGCAUCUUCGGAGACCAGCCAUAGACCAUGGGAGUCAACAAGUCUUGCCCCUAAUUAUGAUCUGUGUUCGGAGUUGAUUGCAAUAGGUCAAAACCAACCCUUUUCUAUAGCCGAGGUCCUAUCUUUUAAUCAAGAAGAUAAUGAACUUUUAGCUACACCUAGGGAAUCUUUUAAUCUUUCUAUAAAUUCUGGUUUAAACCUAGCCCUACAAGACCAUGUUUUUUCUCGAUAUUUUCACAUUGGUCUGUUGGGUAUUUUAAACGCAAACAGAAAAAUCCGCAAGCGCACGGAUACCGAUGUAGCUUUCACCCGGGAGUAUUCCAGAGUAUCGAUUUUCCACAGAGAACGUGAGUGUACUAAUUAAGAUCCAAGAUCGCCCAAGGAUAACUAUAUAAUUAUUUUUGGUGGGAAGAGAGGAAGUUUCCUGAGAGUUCUCUAGUUGAUCUAAGAAUCAAGAAUUACUUCAAGAUUAUCUAUAUCGGGACAUCAGAGCACUAACCACAGAAAGAGAUGAGAAGGGGGCUAGGAAGGUCUGACUACGGUCCUACAAACACCGAUCCGAACGUGGUGGAAUACGUCGACCGUUAGGGCUGUCACUACCCUAGGGCUACCACAACAAUCCGUGGGAUUGGGUGCAAUUCCAGGUAAUCGCAAGACUAAACACCACGUCUAAUCUAUUAAUUACUACUCUAGCGUUAUAAAGACUAGAGCACUUGAUGCAAGCGGGAAUCCAAUAAAUAACUUGAAUGUAAAUAAAAGUAAUUAAAGAACUCAGGAAUUAUGAAUUGAAGAACCUGGAGAACGAUGAAGAACGAACCAGUUGCUGCAAAAGUACAAUGUUGAGGAAGAUCCGACAGAUCCGGCUCCUCCUCCGCUCUCCUCUUCUCUAUCCCUAUUUUCUAGAUUACAACUAGAACUAACUAGAACUAGAACUAGAGGAACUAGAACUAGAACUAGAUGAACUAGAACUAGAUCUAGAUGAACUAGAGGUAGAACUAGAAGAACUAGAGGGAUCCUCUCUACUUGGAUGAAGAAUUGAAACCCUAACUUUGAUUCUGAAGAAGAGGUAUGAUCUCCAGGGGCCAGGGGGGUCUGGUUUUAUAGUCCCUUCAAGUGAAUCUGGGUCAUCGGAUCAAACCGACAUUGAUCGUGUGGUUUUCCUUGAAGUAUUAGGUCGGUGGAGCAAGAUCCCCGAACUUCACCCUGAUUGGUCCAGGGGGGAGGGCGGGCGCCCUCAGGACUAGGGCGGGCACCCUGACCCUAAGGCCUCUCGUCUUCCGCUUCGGUCCCGUGGCUUCUGGAGUCUUCUAGAUGAUAGAAAAUUAUGCGGCACGUUAAUAUCUCUAUGUAAACCCGUAUUUCCUGAUAACCCCCUACAGAAAUAGACAAACACCAAAACUUGUGGAAUUCUGUCGGAUAAAACCCUAAGUCUAGGUGUUGGUUGCAUUUGGAUCCUUUUCUAUGAUUAAUUGAUGGUUAAAUAUGAGCAUUAAGGACCGUCAACAAGCUCCCCCAAGCUUAACCUUUGCUCGUCCCUGAGCAAAGAUUGACUCAAGAGUUUCUGCAGUGGUUUCAUAACUUAAAGAUACACAUGCGUUUAAACAAGAUCUCAUCUCUGGUUAGAGUAAACUGUUAAGACUUAAAACUUACUCAUUUACCUUUCACCAUGGGACUUGUAACCGUCACUUCUGUCUUGAGUAGUUAAAAGAUAGAACGGUCUAGUCAAGCACCAUGUCUCUUAUUCUUGAUCAGCUAUAGCUCUGGAGUUUUUGCAGAUUUUCAAAUAAAACUCAAAGAUUCCUUGUAUGACUCUCUCUAGUCUCUCUUUUGUGGUAUUUCUGGAUCCUUACCAAGGCAUUGAUGGUGUAUGCCUUCUCUCAAAGUAUGUGGUAUUUGUGGUAUGAGGCAUAGUGACAUUGCCUUCUCUCUCACCCUACUCUAAUAAGGUUUUAAUAUCUGGAGCUCAUAGGUGGGAGACAGCUAAUACAUACUUACAAGACAUUUAUUGUAUAGUCAAACCAUGGAUCUAGAAGAACAAGUCAAUAAGUCAAAUCAAGAUGUGCAUGUGUGGCGAAUGAAUGGUGAUAACAAUGGUGAUGAUGGUGAUAAUGGUGGAAACAAUGGUGAAAGUCUAAUUCUACUUUUGCUCUUUUGAGGGGAUACAUACCUUCCUUGCUCUUUUGAAACUUUUGGGGAGAAUGAGAUGCUCUGUAUUUUCUUUUUCUUUCCUCUCAGGUGGGUAUCUUGUACCCCUAAUUCUACUGUUGGACACUUGUCCAUUUUUACCUCUCGUCUCACUUUUUUUUUUCGAGGUUCCGGGCACUUGCCCCUUUUUAUUUCCUCGUAUCUUUUUUUUCUCUCUUCUCUUUUUUUAGAGCACUCAUCUCUUAAAAUAAUGUAGCAAGUGGUAGUAACCAAGAUAACUCGAGCAUUUAUUUCAUAGGGGAAAAACAGAAAUAUUUUUGGCUAUUCUCUCCCGGAUUAGGAGUAGAAUAUUUUUGGGUGGUUCUGGAGAUGGAAAUGGAUGGAUAUAUGUGGAUGCGUACUUCCGAAGUAGAAGUAGCAUGUAUGAGUGAACGUGCAAGUGAAUCUUGACUUAACCACAUGACAAGCUUCUAAGGGUCUACACAGCUUGACCACACUCAAUGCUCAUAAGCAGUAAAAAGUAAAUGUGUGGCUCAAAGUCUUGCAAGCAUGUAUAUAUGGCUGUGGUAGGAAUUUAAACUCUCAUCAUACAGGAACUCAUCAUGUAAUAUUUUAAAGAUUUUCAAAGAUAAAAUUCUCCAGAAUUCUAGCAUCUCUAGGAACAGAUAAACAGCAGCUCAACCUUCCCAUAUCGUAUCCGUUAACGACUUAGACUUUAGAUCAAGUACUCUCCCCACAAGUUCAGGUUUAGAGCAAAUCUUAAUUAAUAACAGUCAUGCCUAAACUUAAGAGAGGUUUCAAUUUUUAGAACUAAUCAUGGCAGAGCAACUAUUCAUCAUUUCCAUGUGAGAGCUUAUCAUGAGGGUUCAUAGCAAACUUUAUUUAUUUAUUUAUUUAGCAAACUAAGCAAAGAUAUAUAUAAGCAAAAAUUUUUAUUUGGGUUUUCAUGAUUAUGCAUCUUUUUAUUAUUAGAGUAAAGUAUAAACGUGAGUAGAAUCACUUAGCUGGAUAAAUGGGGGUGCUCUCCCCCAAGUUGGAUUUUGACGAAGUUUCUUCUGAUGUAGCUAGCACGUGGCGAAGGUGUAUUUGAAUGUCUGCAGCACUCUGACAGCGAGUAGAAUGUCCUCCGUCUGCUAGUCUUCUUUGAUCCUUGAAUUCUGUAGAGCUCAAAUAGACAACAAAGCUUUGUGGAACUAGUUAAGUGUUAGCAUAAAUAUCUAGCCUUUAUCAUGUUGAGCCUCCUCAAUAAAUGUUACUCUCUUUAGUAGGAUCAUAAAUUUAUUUUUAUAUUUUCAUUUUUAUAGGACAAGAAUAUAUAUAUAUUUAUUUUUAUGCCACCAUAGUGAAUGUACUUAUGGGUUUUAUGCCAUGAGCAUACUCACAUGGGGCUUACUAUUUUUAACAUUUUUAUUUUCUUUUCAAGAUAGCAUGAACCUGAUUAACUAAGCAAACUAUUUUAAAUAAUUGAAAGGAAAAGAUAACUACCAAGUUUACCUCUUGGCAAGGCGUUCGGUGUUUUUAAAUCCUCCGAACGGGACUCUCCGUUUUCUCAUUCGUCCUGGGAUUCGCUAGAUGGCGUAGUCGGUGGUUCCGGCAGCGCCUGGUCUUCAUGUAUAACUAUCUUCUCUCUCCACACCUGACUCGGUGCUACGGUCUCCUCAGGACAGUUCUAUUCAAGUUGUAUGUCUUCAGACCUUACAACUUCUCCUUCAUAGUCUACCCAUCCGUCCUUGAUGAUUUGCCUUCUCUGAUUGCGGUUGCGUCGUCUUCUUCUUGUCCUGACCUGCUUAGAGUCUUCAACUAUAUGGUUAGGGUCAGUAAAAUAGCGGCGU